GACAAAAUAACCUACCUUGAAUAAAGCAUGUACCAAUCAGAGUGUUGGCGCGUCAGGACUGCCCGACAUAGAUGAACUAGGUCAUGCUUAUCCUUCAUAAGGAAAUUAACACUUAAUAUUCUUUCAUAUUCUCUUGCAUACUUAUUCUCUCUAUGUAUCUUCACAUAUACUCACUGGAACGUCGGAGUGCCUUUAUAGGUACUCACUCAGGCUGUUCCAGACCAACAAUUGCCUGAAUUCCGCAGUUCCAGCUCAACCUUGACCAUACUAAAUAAUAUUUGAAGCAAUAAAUUAAACAAUCUAAAAAGUUUUAUUAAUAAUACACACUUAGCCAAAGUAUAUUGACCCAAUUAUAAAAAAUUCAACCCAUGUUCACUAAGGACAUGAGAUAAAAACUCACCCAAAUUAUAUAUAUAAAUAUUCUGUGAGAUAUGUUGGUAGUUGAACUCACCUAAAAAAAUUAUUAAUAAAAAAAAAAAGAUGCAUACAUAUUGUGUCAUGUGGUUGAUAGUAUUAGUCUUAUUCUCCAUUAUUAUAUUAUAAAAUAUGAAGAACACAUAAUAACUUCUGUUUUCACUGCACAUAGCAGAAAUGGACAAAAAAGUCGUCACAUAUGACAUACCUUAAAUUGGAUCUACUCGUGUCACUUUAUUAUUGGCUUCCAUUUUCUGUCAUGUAUGCAUUUUUUCUAUGCCAUGUACAACAAGCAAGUAAUAAUUUAAGUCAUAAAAGAAAAAAAAACAGUGAACAAAUUUGAUUACCAUUGUUGAUAAUAUUGUUACCAUAAACAAGAUAAAACUAAGAUUAAGGGAAAAUAAUUGUAUGGUAAAUUGUAAGAGGUUGGAAUCUUAUGUAUAGGGGAAGAAAAUAUCUAUGUAUGUAAUGUCAGAACUACAUGUGAAGAAUUGUGACCUUGACACAUAGAUGAAGAUUUGUAUAGUUUCAAAUUAUUUUAUUAACCACAAUGGUUAUUUUGGAAAUAGUUCACAAAAAUGGUGGAGAAUAAUUACUGAUUUAUUCCAUGAAUUAUAUUGAAAGUAAUUCUUUUAGUUCACAGAUACAUUAUUGUAUGUUUCAUUAUUUUAUAGAAUCACAUAAUACUGCAUAUAGUAUUAAUAGUCCUUUUGUUUAAAAUUAUGUUUCAAUUUAUUUCCUACUUUUAGAAAAUGACAAAUUGCAUUUCUUCUACUUUUUUCGUUUCUUCAUAUAAAUUAAUAUUAGAUAACAUAAUAUUCAAAUAUCUUUGCUAAGGAUAUAUAAUUUAAUCAGGAUGUAGUAAAACAAAUAAUAAAUAAAACAGUUUUAUAAGUUUAUGGUUAGAUUGUUGAGUAAUUUUGUAAAUCAUUAUGUAACUAUUCAUCUUAACAUACACGUAAAUUCAAGAUAAGAGAAGGUGUCUUGAAACAUAGAUAGAAAUAAAAAAUUCUGUGAUUCUUCUAAAUAUAAUAGAAAAAUUCAUUACAGUAUAACAAAAAACAAAGGCAUCAAAUGUUAAUUUCACUUUGCUACUGCAUACAAGUAUGAUUUGAUAGUUAAAGUGAAUAAUUAAUAGAGGUUGAAGGUUCGAAUCUCAAUCAUAACAAAUAUUAACAUACUAAUAUUUGUCGAUAAAAAAAGUAUCACAUAAUGAACUGGCCCACGGUUUGCUCUCAUUUGUGGUCUUUCUUAUUGGUCCUUCCAUUUGUUGUUUCUCUAAAUAGGGGUGGGCCCUAUCCUUCAAUUAUCAAUAUAAUGUUAAAACUCACGUGCUUGUAACUUUUAUACAACAAAAAGAACUAAUAAAAUAUAUCUUUGGAGAUAAAUUAUCUUCUCUGGAAACUAAAAUUAUAACAUGUGUACUAUUUUUUACAGAUUUUAUAAAUAUUUUUGCAGAAUAUGAUUAAAUAAAAUACAUAUCAUAUUUUUAGUAGUUUGAGGAGAUAACUUAUUAUGAUCAGAUAUUUUAUUUUUUACAUAUUGACUAAGUUUUUUUUCCUCUUAGAGAAUGUGAGAGCAUAGUUAACAGAGUUUGAAUAUUGAAGCAGACAAUUAUAUUCUUAUAGGUUUGAAGAACCAUAAAACCUUUAUAUUUAUGUUUUUUAUAAGCAAUUUUUUUUUUUUUAAGGGAAGAAGACCCCAUAGUUGCUAAUGUUUGAAUUGAACUCAUAAAUUGUCAUUGCUCUAUCUCCAUACUUAUGUAAAUAUGAAAUGUAAUACAUUUUUAAAUGGCAUCAAAUGAUUUAUACCUCCUCAACUGAAAUAUGUGUCAUUGUUACUAAUACUAAAGGAAUGAGAAAUGCAAUAUCUUUUAUAGAUAAGUAUUAUUCUAUUUAUGGGAAGAGAGACAAAGAUCAGAUCUCUUUUUCGGACUGGAUAGCAAAACCCAUUUUUUGUCUUGAGUCUAUGUUGUAAAAGGUUUUUGUUUUUUUUUCUCCGCUUUUUCUCUCUUGUAAUUAUUUUUUCUCUUAAUAAAAUCUUUCCUUUUGCUGAUCAAAAAAUAAUAAUUUAUUCUACUUCACAUAUCUAGCUAAAACAUAUGUUGGAAAUUAAAAGGUAGGAUUUUUUUGGUAAUGAUAAUUAAAAGUAAGCUAUGAUGAUCAUUUAUUCUUUGAUUCAUUGAUUAUAGAUCUCCUACUUUUGGCCUCCUCAAAUCUUAACAAGUGGUAUAAGAUAUGAUGAUUUAUCUUGGUCGAUUAAUGAAGACAACAUUUAUUUAUUGAUUUAUGUAUAUAGUAUGAUUCCUUAUGUCAAAAGUCUUUCUAAUGCUAUAAAGUGACUAUGUGACAUGUCCUAUUGAAGAUAAUCGGGUAUUGUCUAUGAAGAAGAGCAAGACAAUGACAAUCGAGUUGAGCUCUUGUUUACACUAUCAAACACUUACAAAGUUCCAUUUCAGGGGAUCAUACUAAUGCUUGGUUUCACACUUGGGAGAAGGGUCAAUCGUCUCUAAUACUCAACUAAAGUGCAUAGAUCAUGACCAAAUUUUGAUAUAGGUUCAUUUAACGAGGUAUAAUAAUCCUAAUGAUUCAUGAUAUUAAAGGGUCUAGAUUGGUGCAUUAUAAGAGAUUGUUGGGGUCGAGUGUGAAUUUGUUGAAAUCUUACAUUAACUUAAUUAUGAAUAAUUUAAAGAUAAGUUGAUAGGUUUUAGACCUAAUACCUUAAGAUUUUGCCUCAAUGAUGUGAUAUAUAUUUAUAUAUUUCUUCUACCCCAUUAUAUAUAGAUCUUCAAACUUUUGGGCCCAACCCUAAGCAAUGCAUAUAAAUAUCAAUGACGUUUUUUUCUCUCCAGUCUUUGAAUUGUUUUCUUCAUAACUUCAUAAUCUUAUGCUAAACUACAUCCCUGGAGGGAUGCACAAUCUCAAAUAUAUGAUAAAGUCUUUUUUUCAUUAUAAUUAUUAUAUAUGUAAUAUUUUACAAAUUAUUUAAAAAAAAUUAGUUAGGAAUUCCUUCAAAACGGUUAUGCUCAUGAUCUUUAUUUGAGAUAGUUGUAAUAGGUUUUGCUUAAUUUUUCUUAUAAAAAAUUAAGUAAUAUAUAUUAUAGCCAAAUUUGAUAUGUGAAAAAUAGGUUAUGUGUGGUCAUUACGACUUCAAUAAUGUUUGAUUUUAAAAUGUUUUUUUGAAUACCAAACACUCAUACCAUUAUAUUUCUUUUGAUGUUUAAAGUCAUCCACAUAAUUUAAGAAAACAUUAAAUAAUUCAAAAUUUUGAUAAAAUAUGACUAAAAUAAAUUCAUUUAAUCAUAAUGAAAACUAUAUGAAUAUAGAAGUAAUAAAUAAGAGUAUAAUUGUAAAGUAAAGUAUUUUAAUAUAUUAAGUUUAUAAAACAUCAAAACAGUUGGAAAAACCUACAUGAGUUAAAUAUCAACAUGUUUUUCCACAUGGUAAUUUUUUCGAGGUAUAUAUAGUAAUUGCUGAAAAAAGGUGAAAUUAAGUAAUUUUCUUCAUCUUAGAAGUUUACCCAACCGUGAAACCAAGAAGCAUUUGAGUUUAGAUUUUUCUUCAUUAAUUGUUACAUAUAUAAUGAGUAAUUAAGUAUAAUUUAUAUGUUAGGUUUGAACACAUAUACAUAACCAUGAAAUAGAGAAUUUUAAUGGAUUUUUAGUUUUAUCUAAACCCACAAUUUUUUUAUUGGCAAAUGUUAACACGUUAGUUUUUGUUGUGGGUGAGACUACUCCAACCUUCAAUAUUUUUCACUUCAUUAUUACCUUAACCAUCAAACUAUCUUAUAAUUUUUUUUUUUUUUCAAAUUUAUUAUGUGUGAGACUCGGACCCAUAACAUCCUACACUCCGUUCCUUAAAUUAUUCACUCUUAUAUUCAGAUCACCUUAUAACUCUCCCAAACUCAUAAAUAAUAGAUGACUUAGGUGAAUUAGUUGCAAAACCACCCUAAGGUCAAAUGAGAUGAUUAAAUUGUACACAGCUAGCUAUGUAAGAUUCCAUCAACUUGUAUUAUAUGCCAAAGGAGGAAAUUUGGUUGGAAUUGGUAGGGUCCUAUAUAUAUAUACCAAACAAGGAAAAGAAAACUAUAUUUAUUUGAUGGCAUUAAAAUCCACCACUCCAACUAUACUUUGCUAAAUGUGCUGCAUUUUUUGUGGCCUAAGAAAGAGCCACAACUUUGCUUCUCUCUCAUAAGGAUAUUUUUGAAAGCUACUACAACGUACCUUUCAUAACACGUGCUUCAUUUUUUAGAAAUGAAAUUACAAUUUAAGAAGAAGAAAAAAAGAGAGAAUAUUUACAACAAUUUAUUACAAUUAUUGAUACUAAAAUAAAAUGAAAUUACAUUGACAACCAUUGAGUUUUAGUGAAAUUACAUAAAUUAUUCAUUCUUCUCUAAACCUACACAAAUCACACAUAAUUCUAUACAUACAUUUCACUAAUAUACUUAUAGGAGAUAAGUAUAAUUUAUUAAACAAAAAAAACAAUGACGAAUGUAAUUAAGUCAAACAAAAUAUAGUAUGUAGUGUGAAAACAAGUUCAAGUAGUACACAAGUUAAUGUUUAUUCAAUAUUUUUUGGUUUGUUAUAAAUUGUAUCAAUAAUAAUUAUAAGCAUGUAUUUAAAUCACUAUUAUCUAUAUUAUAACUAACCAAAAUAAUGAAUAGAUGUUGAUUUUUAUACUAUUUAGACUUAUAUCCUAAGAUAUCAUAUUUUAUUUAACUUAGUUACAUCAGUUGCUAUUUUUUGUUUAAAAAAUUACAUUUAUCUAUCCUACAUGAAUAAUGUUUAAUAGAUGUAUAUAAUUAUGGGUGAUUGUGUAUGUUUAAAAAAAUAAAAAUAUGAUUUAUAUAAUUUCACUAAAACUAUAGAGUAUGUCACUAUAAUUUACUAUUAAAGUAAUGAGAUAUGGAUAUGUCAAAUAAUUCACAUGCAAAAAUGUGUAUGAAUUAAAUAGGGUUGACCAACAAGGUGUUGAUCUAGUGGUGUAAGGCUCUAUUGAAUCCAUAAGAUUGGUUCGAUUCUUAUGAACGAUGUUUAUUGAGAGGGACAGCCACGAACUCUGAAAAAAAUUAAUUUAUUGUUAAAAAAUGUGAGAAGAUACUCUUGUAGUACCAAAAAAAUAGAGUUAAUGUGACUUAUUAGUAAUUUCAAGUUUAAACCUUGAAUAUAUAAUUGGUUAAAUAUUUAGAAUUAUUGUUUUGCUUUUUCAUGGAUCCCAAUUCUUUAUCACAGUUUUGGUUUUGAUUAAUCACAUUGUUUUGACAUAUGGAAUGGAACACAAAAUGGAACCACAAAUUUAAUAGGCGAAAUCCUAGCAGAAUUUAACUAACUUAUUGUUUAUUUGAAGAGUUUUUAUUUAUUGUCCAAGUCAAAUUUUGUAGAAAUAUUUGAUGAAUACAAAUAAUAAAUUAAGAUAUGGUAGUUUUGGAAGUUAGUUUUUGGAGAAGUACAUUAAAGAGAAUUGUCAAUCUUUGCUUUCUCAUUUUUACAUUAAGGAGAAGACGAUUAUUAUGAACUUUUAUAUAAUAUUAUAUAUAUUUUUAAUCAAUUUAAUAAAAUGUAACUACUUACACAAUUAAUUUUGCUAAAGUUCUAUUUCUAUAAAUUAGCUAAAUAACUAUAAAUAUUUAAUUAUAAUUUCACAACUUUUGAUGUCAAAAUGGAUAGGCUAAAGCCUAAAAACUUGUAGAGCUUAUGUAUCAUACUAGAUACAUUUAAUUAAAUGAGGUUUUUUAGUUGAGAGCAAUAUUCAUAUAUGUAAGUGUAAACAUUUAUAUAUGUCAGUACAUUAUUUAUUUGUAUUAUUAUUUUUUUGAAAAAUUAAUGGUGAUAAAACAUGAAUUAUGGAUAAUACAAUGAUAAUAUAUAAAACUCAUACACUUUUAAUUAUAUUACAUUUAUACAUCUUAAAUUAUCAAGUAUCUCAUGAUUAGAUUGGAGUACAAUCACCUUCUUUGUUGCAAACAUAAUAAUUUUUAUACGAGGUUUCACUAGUUGAAUCCACAUUCAAAACUUGUUGCACUAGUGGUAUAAGUUAUGCAUUAUUUGGUCUAGUGGUUUAUAAUCAUGUUAGAUUUUUCAGGAUGACAAAGGUUAAUAGUUCGAUUCUUAUGACGAUAUUUGUUGGGAGAGACAAUUGUGUAAGGUGAAUGAAUAUCCUGAUAAUACCAAAAAAAAUGUAUAAAUGUAAUAUACUCCUCAUAGAAUAUGACCCGUGUUAAUCUAAAUUCGUUCUCUUUUACAUAAUCCAAAUUGAAAUGUUAUAUAUAAAUAGGAUUAAAAGAACCCAGAGAAUAUUAUAGAGAAAGAAUGCAUGUAAUAUAAGCAAUGAUACAAAAUAAAGGUUUUGUACAUGAAAAUGUUUAUGUAAGUAAAUCACGUAAUCCAUGUUCACCAAUUUCCAAGGGUUCCUCAGGUGUAUAAAUGUACCUUCCACUGAAACGUGUCGACCAUUCAUUGGUCAUUGAGAACAGUACCAGGUGACACGAAAUAGAUUGAUUGAAAACCUUGCACUGUAAAGACACGUGUCGAAUAAACAAAGCAGUUUCAUAGGGCCAUUGAAUUUCCUUUGCCUUGGACGCGUGCCUUUAAAAGUAAAGGUAGGUCCUACAAACUGGUUAGAUUCUACCACUGACAAGGUCCAAUCAUAAUUCAAAAAGUCAAAAAUAAUUUAAGUACUUUUCUACUUUUUUUUCCAUCAUCAAUUAGCAUUACGAUGUAACAAUUAACAAAGAGUUUAAAAUUUGUACACCGAGUAAAAUUUUUUACACUGUCAGUAUGUCAUUUAUCGUUGAUUUAUAUUACUUUUGUUUGAGAGUUAAUGAUGAUUAACAAAUCAAUGAUAAAUAAUUUACUUACAGUAUAAAAGCAAUUACACUAGCGGUGUAUACAUAUUAAAUCUAUUAACAAAAGGAAAGAAAAAAAGUACCAAACUUUUUUAUCGUAAAGUUGAGCUACCAAAUUAAAGAGGACAAGUAUUUAUUGUCAAAUUAAUUGUAUAUUCUCUUUUGUCUAAACAUUCCCAAAUUCUGAAAUGAAUGAAUUUAUCUAUACUUCAACUUAUACUUCCCAAAUUCUGAAAUGUUGAACUUUGAUGAUGGAUAUUUAAGGGAAAGAUCGAAAGAGUGGAGUUACAUGCCUACAAAAUUGGUCUCUAACUUUUUAUACACACAAGAGAAUAGUACAUGCUGCAUGUUAAUUAAUCAUUAAAUAUGGAAAUAUUCCUAUAUAUAUAUAUAUCACUUUUUAUAUGUAUGAGAAUUUCUAAAUUAAUCUUAUAUUAGAAUAAAUAACUUUUCUUAAACUUAAUUAUUUUUUUCUUAGUUUAAUUUUAUGUUUGUAUGAGUGAUGAUUUCUUUUUCAUAACUAUCUUUACUAUACGAAUUUAAGUUGUUAAAAUUAAUCUUCUUAGGUACAAGUUGUUAUUCAUACUGUAUACCAGUUCCAUCUACCUCAUAGCUGCAACAAGGUGUUACAUGGCUAAUUCAGGUUUUUGGUGGAUCAAGAGUAAUGAUGAGGUUGUGGCUUCCCAUAUGAGUUGGGGUUGAUUGUGGAGAUUGCAUGUUCCCAAAAAAAGUUAAGUAUUUUUGCUGGCUCUCUGAUCGUUACUCUUUACCAAUCAUCUCUCUCAACUUCUGAGGCAUAUAUCUAAUUCACCUACUUGUAGUCGAUGUAAUCAUACUAUAAUAUUAUUGAUGAUCUCCUACAUACUUUUAGAGACGGUACUAACUCUACCAUUUUAUGGAGUCAUUUAGGUUUCAAUGAUCAAGGCUUCUUGUCUAAUCAGUUUUCAUGUCUUGACUGAUGGGAAAUAUCAGAGUUCCUAGUUAAAGACUUUUUCUAGUAAGUCUCUUGUGAACUUGGUAGUAGCAUUACAAUGCUAUAUUUGAUAAUACUCAAGAAGAUACAUCUUAUAUUGUCAUAAAUGUUCAUCACAAUUAUAAAGAUUAGUUGGUUGUUGAUAUUUUGUCGAUUGGAGUAUCUUUGAAUAGCACACAAUGGAGUUUAUAUUUAUUUAUAGCUUUCCAAUAUACCAAACAAAAAAACACACUAAAACAUCUCAUAUAUCAAUUUUGCUUUAUGCAUGUAUAGUUAAAAUACGGGUGUAAUAACUAUACAUUGUCACUAUAAACGAUUUAUACAUAUCAGACAUCAUCUAUUAUUAUUAUUUAUAUCACUUAUAUUUAAAAAGUCAUGAUAAUUAAAUAUAAUGCAUGUAAAAACUCUUAUUAUGUUUCCUUUGUAGAAUAAUAUGAACAAGUUUGAAAACCCUAAUUCUUCAUUCUUGUGCUUAUACUUAUCCUCUACAACAUGCUAGUUUCUAUCUUUGCAUAGCACACUACUAUACUAGGGAAAUCAUGACUAAGAACUUAGCAUAAUUUUCCAGUAAAGGAACAUUAUUUCCUCCUCAUUUGGCCCAACACACUACCACAAAGGUCAUUUUCUUAGGUUCAUAGCCGAACCUUUCAAAUUAAUUUUACCAAAUACAACCAUAUAUAAGUUCAUAGAAUAUAAUAUAAUUAUAUCACAUGUGAGGUCUUAGCAUAGGUUUUCACACUCAAGGUGCUACAUUGCAAUUUCCUAAGACAUUGAGUGUGGUUUUAGUUUGUUUUUGGCAUAUAAGAUAACUAAUUAUUUUUCAUUCUAAUGAUGACAAGUCAUUGAAUUCCAUGUGCCAUACCUUAUCAUAAAUUGAUUAUGCCUAUAUUAUUUUGUUCAUGUUUAACUUAGAGAUCAUUAUUUAAAAUUGACCCUUGUGUUACUAUAAGUUAUAUGGUAUUGUCCAUGAAUGGAACUAGGAGGAAGAGUUGUUUGUAUAUUUUUGCAAACUUUGACUCAUAUUUAAUUCGUACUUAAGAGAACUUGAACACCAUAGCUAUGUAUAGGCAAAUUGUAUUCCCCAAAACAACCUAGAAAUGUUCAGAAAAUGGAGCAUUUUUUUAAAAUUUAUUGUGCUUUUUAUUCAUUUUUUAUUCUAACUUUAUUUAAUAAUUGAAUUUUAGAUGAUUUCAUUUUUAAAGUCUUUAUUUGACUUUCCAUUAUAUAUAAGAAAGCUUUAAAUUAAAUUAACUCGUAUUAAUUUAGCACCUAAAAAAUGGGAUUUAUUUUGAAGGAUAAAAAUCAUUCAAAUUUUUGCUCAAAGUGAGUAAAUUAAAUUGGAUCCACCCUAAGUAUUAUAAAAUGCACAAAGUUCAUAAAUUAUAAAAUGAUCGAAGGGUAUACAUUCUUAGUUAUUUAUUGUAGAAGUAAACUCAUUUUAUAGGUAAAGCAGACCAAGUAUAAAAGAACAAAGCCAUUGUUGUUUUAUGCCUCAUUAUUUGAAAGUCUCAAAUAAUAAUAAUGAUAAUAAUAACUGUAGUCUAUAUUAAAAAAAUCUAAGUGAAAUGUUAAGACCCUCUUGAUUUUUUGUAUUUAAAUUUUAAAGUGUAUAUUAAAUAUUCAUUUCCACCCAAUUUAAUAUCUCUAAUAAUUCCAAACUACACUAAUAUUGGCGUUUUAGUUUUAUUUUGAAGGUAUAUUUGGAUAAAAAAGGAAGUUAAAAUAGUUUAUAUUUUUUUUAAAGUGGAUUGAAAAUAAGUUAAAAUAGUUUUUGAAAAAUAAGAAGUUAAAAUAGCUUAAUUAUAAAUUUUGAUUAAAUGUUUUACAUUUUUAAAAAUUAGCAAUAAACAAUAAAAUAUUCUAUAAACCUAUUGAGCUAUUUUUGGUAUAUGCCUCUUUGGAUAUUGAGCCACCUUGUUUAGAGAGCCUUUUUUUCCUCUCUAGAAAUCUAUUGUUGUUUUCUCAAUAAAAACUCAUCCUACCCUAAUUUUAUUUUUAGCUUUUUUUCAAUAGAUAUAGUCCCACUAACCUCAAACCAUGAUAUUGAUUAGGAUAAAACUUAUGAAAAGUAAUAAUUUCAUGAUUUGAACUUUUGAUAUCUUAAGGUAAUACCCUAAUAUUUUGCAAAGGCUACAAAUAAAUAGAAUACUCACAAGUCACAAUCAACUCUAGUUGGAUAGAGAUUCUAAUUAAUAAGAAAAUUGCUAAAAUGACAAAAAAGUGAUUAAAGUUAACACUGCACUCUCUAUGGAGCUCUCAUUUUUCACACAUUGGAAGACCACCAUAUGUUUGAAGAAGCUAUAGUUGAACGAAAAUUUUGAGGAGGAUUAUGUGUACCUAAUCUAAUUCUAUCUAUGUCUCUGUAUUAAUAGUCCUACAUUGAAUAAUAUAACAAAGUCAUAUUUAAGUCUUGAAACUAUUUUACCUAAUGUACUAACUUUUGAGGUUGAAUUCUCCUAAUAAAAUAAAAUGAUUAUUUUAUUAAAGUUGGCUUCGGAAAAUGGGUUAGGAUCCUCUCAAUUGGAAAGUACAUCAAAAGUAAAGGAAAAACAUAAUAUGAUAUGACAUUUUUAUUCCUUAAAAUAUAAUAAUAUGACAUUUCUCUCUUUAAAACUAAGUGCAAAAUUAACAACUUUCUCUCCAGUAAUGAAGAGGUGUCUCAUUCUCCAAAAAUAGCAUUCUUACCUUCAUGAUGAACUUCCACUUGAGUCUAUAUAUUGAACUUUCAUUUGAGUCUAUAUAUUGAUUUGAGUAUAAUGUAAUCAUAUUCUAAUUAUUCUUCAAUGGUCAUAAAACCCUUAUUUUCAAAUAUUAUCUGCUUGGAGUGUUGUGCUAUCAUGAUGUUAUAAUGAAUGUGGCAUUAAGGAACCAAAUUGAACCUGACAAGGUUAAACUAAAUAAGAAAAUAUAGAUUCAAGUCUUUCACCCAAAACGUUGGCAUUACCCUUACAAAAAGGAUGAAAUAUGUUUGUAAUUUGUUUUUACUUUUUAUAGGGCAAACAUUUUCUUUUUCCUUUUAAGGGAAGGUUGAGAGACCCUAGAGUAGAUAGAGUAUAAUAUUCUACGAUUCAGAAUCUCUGGACAUUCAUAUUUCAUGUCCCACAAAUUUAUCAACUAAAUCGACUCUUAGAUUAUUAACUUUUUGGAAAGAAAAACUCGAUUUUAUUUUAUUUUUUUAUAAUAUAAAAUCGAUAUGAAAGUAAUAUUUUACUUAAGGCCUAUCCCAAAGACCAAAUGCAAUAUGAAGCUUAUCUAUCAAAUAUCACACGUUUUUAUAUUAUUACUUAAAGUAUAAUUCAUACAGUAUGAAUGCAUGAUUCCUCUAAGAUUAAAAUUUCAGUAAUAAUAAUAUGAAAAGAAUAGGGUCCAAAACUUAUCAAUUAAUGUAGAAUGGUAGCUAAUGAAGUUUAUAAAAAAACAACCAAAUACAAAAACAUACCAGGAAUCAUGACAAACUAGCAAUAUUGAAUACUCAUAUGUAUACUACAUUGAUUAAUGAUUAUAGUUUAGAACUAGCAGGACAUGAGCACAAGCUAUUUGUUUCACCUUUGAAUCGUGAUUACCAAUUCUUUGCAGCUCGAUGUAUAAACUACCACCUAGUGAGCUCUGAGGAGGUAGAUGAAUGAGAAUGCGAAGUGUUUCAUCCGAUUCCUUUGCAUUUAUAGCAAACCAAUCUCCUUACAUUGUCACAUCUCUUACACAUCCCGAUGAGCUUCAAGUAAAGGGGUAUACAUUCGAUAUCCCAUAAUUUAUGUCACUCUAUGUGCUAUAAGUUUGUGAUUGGUCAGAAAUAUAUAUAUAUAUAGAGUGACAUAAACUAUGGGACAGCAGAUGUGCUCCCCAAGUAAAGGUUGCACCAUAUACUCAAAACUCAAAAGAGUGUAUUACAAAAUAAAAAUAUAAAAAAAUGUCUCACUACAAAGCUUGGUUAAAGUUUUAUUAUUAUUAUAGGUCUACAGAAUCUAUUAUAUUAUAUUUAUCCUAAUAGCAUAAAUUAUUAUUCCUAAGCUACAACCACUUUGUGAGUACAGUUAAAAAUCAAGUGACCAGAAUUUAAUUGAUCAUUAGUGCAUUAUUACAUACAAUUUAGGGUCUACGAAAGCUUAUAUAGAGUUCCAUGAACACCAAGAGUUGCAUGAGUAAUGCUCCUAACCAUAAAGAAGACAUGAACUAGUUAACCAUGAAGCAAGUUACAUAUAUGAGAAAGACUUGCGUGGAGACGAAAUCAUAUGGAGACAAUCAAUAAGAUUUUGACAACAUAUUAAUAUUUUAAUUUUAAUUAAAUUCAAUCUUAAAUGAUAGCAUCAAAAGUCAUAAAAUGUAUUUGUCUUCAACUAUAAUAUUUUACAUGUAUCUCCAUACAAGUUUUUCUCGUUACAUAUUUUCCAUUAUUUGGUCCAUGAUUUCAGCUAAUGCUACUAUGUGACAAAGCUACCAUAUUCAAAGGAAAAAUUACUAGCAAGAAUUUGAAGUAGAAUAUACACUGUCUUGUAAUUUUAUGUAGAGUAACAUUUGGAUUUCAUCAUUCUACUUCAAAUACUUUUGGGUAGGCCUACUAUAUAUAAAAAAAUUGAUAAUUCUGACUAAGGCACAAGAUAUUACUAAUUUUUUGAAGUCCAUUCAUGUUUUUCAGCCAAUAUAUUUGUUUACAUAUUAGCCUGAAAGACUGAUUUUAAAUGAGUAAAGAUAAAGAUAUCUUAAUUAAUACAUUUGUUUAUUGCUAAUGAAUCUUAAUUAAUAUAGAUGGAUUAAUAGUAUAAAUAAGUCAAGAAAACAAAAUAAAACAAAAUGGCCCAUUAGCUCAGUUGGUUAGAGCGUCGUGCUAAUAACGCGAAGGUCGCAGGUUCGAGACCUGCAUGGGCCAUUAUUUUUAUUUAUUUUAAUUUUAGUUAAAUGGGCUUUUUGUAACAUUAACUUUAUCCAGGUCCAAUAAACAUAUUUUCUAUAACUUCAGACUCAGAUUAUUAAUUUAAGGAAUUAAAAAUUAAAUAAAAUGCAUCAAUUUAAUAAUAGAUAAUCAAGUACUCAAUUCUUUCCAGAAUAUUUACCCAUUCAAGAAUUAAGGAACUUGUAAUGUGAACAAUGAUUUUAUUAGAAAAUAAUAACAAAUAUUGGUCAUAUAUAUUCCAAGAGUUUAAAUAUUCUUGAUGGAAAUAUCUUUCUCCAUUACUCUUGUAGUUCCUUCUUACUUGGGCUUGAAAAUCACCAAUUUUCCAUUCUUAUCUCAUGUGUCUUCUUUGCUCCUGAGCUUAUAAAGCACUGAAUCCCUCUGAUAAAGAAAUGAUUGUGAGAUAUUUUCAUAUGCCAAUUUUAAUGUUGGUUUGCUUUGAAGCCAACUAUUAUUAAUGGUUAGAUUUAAAAAAUUGGGAAGGAGUUACCAUUUGGGAAGAAGUCGUUAGUCAUUAUACGACUUCUAUGUAUUAAUAUUUUUGCAUAUAGAAGUCGUGGAUCCAUUUAACAAUUUUUGUGCAGGUUGGUGUUGUACUCAGAAAUUGUGUAGUCCUUUAACAACUUCAUAGUGGGUUUUUUUAUGUGCAAAAGUCAUGAAGCAGUUACACAACUUCAAAAUCGAAAAAACUUCCACCUAGAAAUCUCCAAUGUAUAUCACCACUUCUAAGAAGUUGUUAUACUCCACACAUAGAAGUUUUCAUGUCAUUUCACGACUUCUAAGUGGAAAAAACCUCUACCUAGAAGAAGUCUCUAAAGAAUAUCACGACUUCUAUGUAUGUUGCAAACUCAGAAGUCGUGCAGCUAUUAAACGACUGCUAUGCAUGAAUUUUUUCACUACACAGAAGUCGUAGAAACCUUUAAUGACUUCUAUGCAUGUUGCAAAAUUGUCUACAAAAAAGUCGUGUAACCAUAAAACUACUUCUAUAUGCAAAACUCCUAUUCAAUUAUCGAUUAAAAAUUAAUUGCUCAGAUUUCUAAGAAAAUAUAUAAUCUAAUGGAUGAUUAUCAGUUCGCAUGGAUAUGAACUAUCAGUUCGCAUGGAUAUGAACUAUUAGUUCGCAUGGAUGAUAAUGAAGUAAAAACAAUAAUAAUAAUAAUAAAUGUUUAAUUUUUUUAAUUGACACAAGAAAUGAUUCAGGACACGAUUUGUGACGACAACUCUCUAUUCCUAGACUCAUUCAAUCAUAUACAAACCUCUCUUUUGUUAUUUGUUUCAUCCACAAAGUUACCACAUUGCAUGGCCACCCUUAAGAAAGAGUCUUACUUUACCUUAAACAUUGACACACAUAUGAAUCCAACUUUAACCCUACACUAGUGCCUAUUACUUAGGCACUUCACAUGUUUACAACUUCAUUUAUAUUCACUUAAACUAUUCACUUUUUCUCUCAUAAACUUCUUCAACAACCUUAACAACAUUAUUGGUGCAACAUGGCUAAUGGUUUUGUAGCAGCAGCACCACCUUUGAAAGAUGAACUUGACAUUGUUAUACCAACUAUUAGGAACCUUGAUUUUCUUGAAAUGUGGAGACCAUUCCUUCAACCUUAUCAUUUGAUCAUUGUUCAAGAUGGUGACCCUUCAAAAACCAUUAAUGUCCCUUCUGGUUUUGAUUAUGAACUAUAUAACCGAAAUGACAUUAACAAGAUUCUUGGUCCUAGGGCUUCUUGUAUCUCCUUUAAGGAUUCUGCUUGUCGCUGCUUUGGUUACAUGGUCUCUAAGAAGAAAUAUAUCUUCACCAUUGAUGAUGAUUGCUUUGUGAGUUUUCCAUUCACUACUUUUACUUUCUUCUUUGUUUUUUUUAAAGAAUAACGAUACUCACAAGACAAACAAAGAUCUAUUGUCUCAAAUCUUAUCUCAUAUGUUGUAACAAACAUAUUUUCAUUGGCACGAGAUAUUAUAUAAGACAAUAUUUGGAACAACAAAUCUUUAUUCCUCCCACACAUAUACAACAACCAAGUCUUAAUCUUCUAUUAAGUGGGAUCGACUAUUAUUAACAUUAACAUUAUCACAUCCUUUGAUCUGAAAACAUGUUACUUUAUGGAUGCUCAUUUUCUAUAUAUCUAUUUAUACUUUAAUUUUAGCACGUGCUUCAAAUGCUAGAAAUGUGGGGUUUGAGUUUAGUUCAAUGUUUGAAGAGAUUUUAUGUAAUUUUUUGGACUCAAUGUUUUCAUUCCUUCUUGUGAUGAUUUGUUUUCAAGAUUCUUCAAAGUCUAGUAAAUUUUUGUUCUUGUUAUUAUGUUUUCUGUUUACGUAACAAUAUUGAACAUAAUUUAUUAUAGAUUAUUAUGACAUCAUUCGAUUUAUGUAGUCGACUCCACCUAGUAAAAUAAAGGGUUGGUUGUUAUUGCAUGGUCCAUAGAAUUACUUUUGUCUUAAAUCUGUUGAAAUCAUGUGUCAUAUAAUGUUGUAAACCAUAUAAAGAUGAUGGAAUUCUUUAGGUACCCUGCAAUCAUAUCUUAUGUUCAUAAUUAGCUUUAUUUCUUUACAUUGUUAAUCACAUGUGCAUACUUUAUAGGAUUUCAUUACUUUAUAACUCUUGCUACUUGUACUUAUUUAAAACUUUAGGAUUCAUUAUUGUAUUUUUAUCAUUUAUUUGUUGUGACUUAGGUGGCUAAUGAUCCAACUGGAAAAGCUGUUAAUGCACUUGAGCAGCAUAUAAAAAACCUUCUAUGUCCAUCAACUCCCUUAUUUUUCAAUACCCUCUAUGAUCCUUUCCGAGAAGGUGCGGAUUUCGUUCGCGGGUACCCUUUCAGUCUUCGCGAAGGCGUACCGACCGCGAUUUCUCAUGGACUCUGGCUCAAUAUCCCUGACUAUGAUGCUCCUACACAGCUUGUGAAGCCUCUUGAGAGGAACACUAGGUGAUAUAGUACUCUUUAUGAACCAACCAAAGCAUUCAAUAGUUCAAAUUUGUUACCACCUUAUGUAUGAUUUUGUGAUUAUGAUUACAAGGUAUGUGGAUACUGUCCUGACCAUUCCCAAGGGCACAUUGUUUCCAAUGUGUGGAAUGAACUUGGCAUUCGAUCGCGAUCUUAUUGGACCGGCAAUGUACUUUGGUCUCAUGGGAGAUGGUCAGCCAAUCGGACGCUACGACGAUAUGUGGGCUGGCUGGUGCUGCAAGGUUCGAUUUAAUUCGACCUAAAAUUGUUGUGACUUUUGAUUCAUAACAAGAAGACAAUCUUAUAGAAACAAGGUUAACGAUCAUGAUCGAUAAAAAGUGCUACAACCGAACGAAAUAGAACAUACUUCUUUAUAUAGUUACCAUAUUCGAUAAACAGAAUAGAACAAGACACGAAAUCAAAAAAGUUUUUCAAACAUUUUGGUAUUGCUAAAAGGGCCGAAUCAACUAAGAUAUUUUCUUAAUUGUUUCAGGUAAUAUGUGAUCACUUAGGACUAGGGAUCAAAACUGGUCUACCUUAUAUCUUUCACAGCAAGGCAAGUAACCCAUUUGUAAAUCUAAGGAAAGAGUACAAAGGAAUUUUCUGGCAGGAAGAUAUUAUUCCAUUUUUUCAAAACCUUACUCUUCCAAAAGAAGCCACUACUGUUCAAGAAUGCUACAUUUAUCUUUCCAAACAAGUCAAAGAAAAACUCUCAAAGUUAGAUCCUUACUUUGACAAACUAGCAGAAGCUAUGGUCACAUGGAUUGAAGCUUGGGAUGAGCUUAAUCCACAAGGAGCAUCUAAGGCCAAUGGCAAAGCAUAAAUCAAUUUUAAUUGAUUUUAUCCUAUAGUUUAUUUUUAACUACCUAUGUUCAAGUUAAUGUUAUGGUUACUUAAGCAUUUGGUUUAUGUAAUUCUGUCUUAAAUAUUUAUUUCAGUUCCUUAUGUUUUUUCAACCUUACCAUUUUGGUCCCUCGAAAAUUGAAAAACUCAAAAUGAUCCUAAACAAUUCCAAAUGUGCCCCAAAUUAGUCCUUUUCAGUGUCAAAUUAGUCGUUAUCAGGUGUUGGAAAACAUGUUAAAAAUGACUAAUUUGAUCACUAUUUAAAAACUUUUUGGGACCAUUUUGAGUUUUUUUAAUUUUCGAGGGACUAAAUUAGUCAGAUCGUAAAAAAUAAGGGACUGAAAUGAAUAUUCACUCUUAAUUUUAUAUUUGAGUUUAGAAGCAAAAGAGUACAAUGGUCUAGGUCAUUGUUUAAUUGUGAUUUUUGUUUGAGGAGUAGACAUCACUGCAGCACCUUAUAUAUGAGGAAUAUUAAUGUAUGCCAUAUUUAUGAAUAAUGCAAAAUUUGAUUUUAAACUGAUGAGUUCAGAAGUUUUAUAAUAAUAAAAAAAAAAAAAAACAUUUGUUGAUUGAGACAAAAUUCACUUCAAUCAUCUCUGCAACCUUUUUACCGUUUAAGAAGUUAUUGAGUAAUAUAAGCUUAUAUAAUCUUAUUUAUUAGUUUUUGUUAUUUUAGAACUCAGAAAUAUUUUAUUAAAAUAGAAAACUUUACCAAUCAUCAACAAAUCAACAAUGUCAAACUUUCCUAAUCAAGAAGGAUUUGGAGUGAUUAUGGUUUUUGGAUUGGUUAAUUUCAUAUAAACCUUAUUUAGGUUUAAUUAAUUUUGUGAGAGAAAUUUAUCUAUUGAAAUAUUGAAGGAUUUAUUAUUAUAUAUGCAUGAAGCAGUUAGUGUGUCCUUUUUUAAUAACAAAAUAACUAACUACCUGUCCCUACCUUGCUUCUGGCAAAGACAAAAAGAAAGCAAUGCCAUAAAGAGGACUUCACAAAAUUAGUUGGAAAGUUCCACUAAAGAAAUCACAUUUUUACCCUCAAUAUUAUAUUAGAUUCCAAUUAAUUCGAGUUGAGUAAGGAAGACUCGUUAAAGGAGUAAGGAUCUUCUGAUGCUUACAUUUUAUGUUUACAAAACUCAAACCUGGAACUUGCUUAUGAGUAAUGCGCUCUUACCAAGUAAUUUAAGUACUUAUUUGAUCCCUUAUCAUAAUUAUACAUAUCAAAUGGUAGCCAUAUUUUAUAAUUUUUUUUAUUUAAAAAUAAUUUUAACUUUAUAUCGUUAAAUUCUUUUUGAAGGAUGUGUAUCAUCAUCUCAUCCAGUAUCAUAUAAAAUGUUUUUGUGUACAAAAGUCUCAUGCCAAAUAUAUUCAACACUUUCUACAUUCAAAUCAUUCUUACAAAAAAGUUAAAAUAAAUGGAAAAAUUGCAAGUGAAGCUUAUCUUAAAAAAAUCUCAUGUAUGAUUAUUUUUCAAUGUGUUAAUUUCCUUGAUCAAAUAAGUGAUUAAUAUGAUACCAAGGGUCCUAUAUGUUAAUUGUAUAUGGUAAGCCAAACCCAUCAGAAAGCAACUUUCCCUCAAACAAAACUGUUAAAGUGUUAUGUUCACUCUUACAAUGUUGUGAACUAUGGUGGAGGUUGCUUCUAAGAUAUGGAAACUUCAUCAGAAAUCACAAAUAUAAGGAAGUGAUAGCAAUAAAAGUAUGUAGCUGGUUCUUAACAACCAUUAGGUGAAACAUCACUUAAACCACAAGAGAAUUCCUUGCAAGACUCUUUCUCUACAAUACUAUACAUUCAAUGCCAUACAUAGCAUUUGUUCAUACAAACAUUUCUCAUAUUCCAUCCUUGUUGAGAGUUGUCUUAGUGUUUCGCCGAAUUCGGCUAGCUGAUAACAGCAGAAUAUUGAAGCAAUGAGAUAUGUCAUCUCAGCUCUUUGUGUUCUUGUGCUAUUCUCUUAUGCUUGUGAGAUACAAAGUUUCAUUAUCUGCUGAAUUUUUGUUUCACUUUUACAUGCAUAUUCAACUCAUUUUUGUUAAUGUUUUGUUAUCAAUAGGUGCUUAUGAUCCUUUGGAUCCAACUGGAAACAUAACAAUCAAAUGGGAUGUCAUGUCUUGGACAGCAGAUGGUUAUGUUGUAAGUCGAUCGAGUAACGAUACUCUUACAUUACUUUUCUUUUUACACCUUUUUCGAUACUUAAAUUUAUAACCAUCGACUUAUUUUUUCCUUCUUCGGAAACAAUAAUUGGUUAAACGAUUGAUGAUUAAGAUGUAGAAAACUUUUAUGAUUAAAAAGUAGUGACAUGGACGUUUUCGUUUUCGAUCAGGCUACGGUGACAAUGUACAACUUCCAAAUGUUUCGGCACAUUAUUCAGCCCGGGUGGACAUUAGGAUGGACAUGGGCAAAGAAAGAAGUUAUAUGGUCAGUGGUAGGAUCUCAAACCACAGAACAAGGGGAUUGUUCCAAAUUCAAAGGAAACAUACCUCACUGCUGCAAGAAAACUCCUACAGUAGUAGACUUGCUUCCUGGUGUACCUUACAAUCAGCAAUUCACAAACUGCUGUAAGGGUGGAGUGGUUGCAGCAUGGGGCCAAGAUCCUUCACAAGCUAUCUCAUCUUUUCAAUUGAGUGUUGGUCAAGCUGGUACAUCGAACAAGACGGUUAAACUUCCGAAGAAUUUCACUCUCUUGGCUCCGGGACCUGGCUAUACUUGUGGCCCUGCAAAGAUUGUUCCUUCCACCAAUUUCCUCACACCUGACAAGCGCCGUAAGACUCAAGCAUUAAGUAAGUUCUCUAACUUUACAUUAUCAAUGUUGCUCACUAUGAAGUACCGAUACUUCAAAAUGGUUGUCACGUCAGUAUCCGAUUAAUAUUGUAUUGGAGUAUCUGUGUCAUGUUGUAUACAUAUCUGUAGCAGAAUCUGUUUUUAUUUGUUUUUAUAUGAUGCAGUGACAUGGAAUGUUACCUGCACUUACUCACAAUUUCUGGCAAGAAAGAACCCAAGUUGUUGUGUAUCAUUAUCAUCCUUCUAUAAUGAUACCAUUACCCCUUGUCCCUCUUGUGCCUGUGGCUGCCAGAACAAGAAGAAUUGUGUCAAGUAAGUGAUAUUUCAAAACAACUCAUGGCCUUAGCAUAAUCUAAAUUUGCAUUCGGUUAACAUGUCAGAAUAGGAUAGAACAGUACGAAAAGACCGAAAAGUAAAACAUUUUGGUUCUACUGAAAGGAGUGAAACACAUCGAACGUUUUCAACAAUUUUAUGAAUGUUGGUAUGGUAUGCAGGAGUGACUCAAAAAUUCUCAGCAUGGUAGGGGUUCACACUCCAAAGAAAGACAAUGAACCAAUGCUGCAGUGUACUCAUCAUAUGUGCCCAAUAAGGGUCCAUUGGCAUGUGAAACAAAACUAUAAGGACUAUUGGAGAGUGAAGAUUGCCAUAACAAAUUUCAAUUACAGAAUGAAUUACUCUCUUUGGGCUCUUGCUAUUCAGCAUCCAAAUCUAAACAAUGUCACUCAAGUCUUCAGCUUUGACUACAAGCCUUUGGUUCCUUAUGAAUCCAUAAGUGAGUACCAGAAAAUCUUCAUAUCUUUUUCUGCAAUUUACUAUAGGAUAGUGAAUUUUCUUACACAACUCAAAAAGAGAUUCAAACCAAAAAGAGAUUCUAUAAUAGUUGAAUAAACAACAUGGACUAUGCAUAUAAAAGUGUUAUAGAAUUCAAUAACUUUGAAGAAUGAUUACUGAAGUUUGUUCUGAUUUUGUAUGCAGAUGACACUGGUAUCUUCUUUGGCAUGAAAUACUUCAAUGAUCUAUUAAUGGAAGCUGGACCAACUGGUAAUGUUCAAUCAGAAGUGCUUCUUCAGAAGAACAUGGAUACCUUCACAUUCAAGCAAGGUUGGGCAUUUCCUCACAAGGUCUACUUUAAUGGUGAUGAAUGCAUGUUGCCUCCACCAGAUACCUACCCUUUUCUCCCUAAUUCUGCACCUGCAAGGCUACUUGCAUUACCAGCAUUCAUAUUCUCUUUGCUUUUCUUCUUAGCAGUUUGGUGAAUUGGUUAAGUGUAAGGGUUGUUUUGUGAAAAUUUUGAGACCAUGUUACAGAGAUAAUAACAUGCCAUGUGAUAAUUAUAGAGACUCAAGAUAUUCUAUGAAAACACCAAGCCAAACUCAUGGCUAUGUUUUUUUAUUCAUGAGGAUUAAAAAUGAUGCUAGAUAUAAUGUACCAAACAAUGAUGCUGUUAUAGUAAUGCUAAAAUGUUACUCCUUUUCUUUAAACAAUAUUGAAUGAUACAAAAAAAAGGACAAAACUUAGUCAAUGUUCUAUAGAUGCUUGUGAUAAUAUCAUCAUUGUUUCAUAAUUGUUAGAUAUGUUAAAUGUUUAUAUUUCUAUUGGUAAAGCAUGGCAGAUAUAUUAUUAUCAUUAUAGAGUAGCAUCACAAGCACAUAUAGAACAAUACCUAAGUUUUGUACAAACAAAAAUACAUGUAGAUUCCAUUUUAACAAGGUGAAGGGAAAAAGACCAUUAUCAUGUUCAUGUCAAAUACCAUACAUGAUUCAUAAAGUCUAUCAUAUUAAGUGUAAUGUAUUUACUUCUUAUAAUUACAUUUCCAAUUACACUAAUGGUCUAAAACCAAUAAAACACAAUUACAUUACAAACAUACAAAUAACCCUAAGGUCGGCUAGUGUACAAGACUCCCAUCUAUUGGGUUCCAAGAAGGUAGAUGUACGCAAUCUUAGUUUCGUAUGCGAGAGGCUGUUUCCGGGAAACACACAAAUAACGCUACAACAGCAAAUUCAACCACUCAUGUCUAAUAUGGUGAAACUUAGUAACAAAUCAUAGGACACUGAGCUGAUCUAGAAUAAUCACUGGAUAUCAUCCUCUAGCUUGGCUCAAAUUCCGAAUUGAGUCAUCCCAAAGUUGAGUUAAAAUUGGUCAGACUGAAAAGUUUAGAUGAUAAUGUUGAGUGUGCCACAGAUAGGAACUUUAAGCAAAUGCAUAAAAUACCAAGGCUACCAAGGAGACCAUCAUCAUAGCAAGCAGCGAAACUUCUCGUCGGGAACCGGUGUUAGGUAACCAUGGAUAUGCAUCAGGUGGUGGCAUCACACAAUUGUCACCAUUGAAAUAGAUCCUUGUAGGAAAAGCCCAACCCUUCUCAAAAGUGAAAGUUGAUUUAUCCUUUCGGAAAAGUAGCUCUGAUUGUACAUUGCCAAUAGGACCGGCUUGCAUGAGAAAAUCAUUGUAGAACUUAAUUCCCCAAAGCAUUGCUGUAUCAUCUGUUUAAAAGCAACUUAUAUCAAUAAAAUCCAUUCCAGAACAAAAUUAAUGAGUAAAAUCGGUAUGCAGUAAGAAAUGUUCAUUGUUCAUACAGCUAUUAGGACCAGAAAAUUUAGUCAUUAAAAAGUUACUACUCAAGAAAUUUGGCAAACCAUUUAUAAUCCUAUAGAGGAUUUAAUUGUAGCGACACAAUCGUCAACACAAUUUUUAUGCAGGAUUCACUAAAUAGAGUGUGGAUCAAUAUGAUCUAGGAAGUCUCACAUGAAGUUCAUCCAGUAAUGAAAAGUGUGUCGCGGAAAUUGUUAAAAAGUGUGUUGCUAGUGUUUUUCUACUACCAAUAGUGAAACCUGGUCUGAAACUAUACAUUAUAUUCAAUUCAAAGAACCUUAAGUUUUUAAUAUCUGAAAGAUUUCGAGUUCUUGAAAGGAAGAAAUUCAGAUCAUACUUACUUAUGGUCCCAUAAGGGGUUAUUGACUUGUAGUUGAAACUGAAAAGUUCGGUGAGGUUCUCAAAGUUCGGGUGUUGAAUAACCAAGUUCCAGUCAGAAUAGUUCAUCCUGUAAUUGAAAUUUGUAACAGUGACCUUCACACGCCAGUACUCCUUGUAGUUAAGCUUAAUGUGCCAGUGAACUUUGAUUGGGCACAUAUGACGAGUGCAUUGAACCAAAGAUGUGAGACUAUUCUUUCCGAGGUUGGAAACGACUGAUGCCAAAUGCGGUGAAUCUGGCCUGUAACCAAACAGAAAAAGGUGACAUGAGUGGUAUAAUAUUAUUAGUGUUUAGAAGGAAAUCACAGUGCCAUGAGAAAUAAAAACACACUCUACACAAUUAUCAGAUUGAGACUUGGUGCCCUGGCAGCCGCAUGAACAUGUCGGGCAUGGUACAAUAGUAUCGUUAUAAAAGGAUGAGAGUGAAACACAGCAAGUGGGAGUUUUCUGAGCUAGAAAUUGUGAAUAUGUGCACGUCACAUUCCACGUCACUGCGAUAAAUCAGCAUAACGUUACGGUCAAAUGAAAUUGCUCGAUCUUGCUGAUAAGAAUAUGCUACAGCUGUUAACUCGGACUAGUUUUAAUUCAGUCAUAUAAUUAUUAACACAGUGCAAGACUUUGAUACCAACAAAAGCUAUACAACUAAUGGAAUGAAAUUCAUUUUAGAUAAUAAAACAUUCAUGAAUCUUCACUUAACAACUUAAACUUCGAGUAGUUAGAUAAUUAUAGUGGCAAAUGUGAAAAUCAACAUUGAAGUACAUUAACUUACUGAGUGCUUGGGUCACUCUCCUUUUGUCUCCUGUCAUGAAUUGAGUUGGUUUCACGAUCUUUGCUGGCCCACAAGUAUAACCUGGGCCCGGUGCUUUCAAGGUGAAGUUUUUCGGCAAUUUGACUGUUUUAUUUGUAGUUCCAGCUCUACCUACACUGAGUUGAAAUGCUGCAACUGCAUUGAUUGGAUCUUGUGCCCAUGAGCUGAGUACACCACCUUUGCAGCAAUUUGAAAUUUGUUGAUUGUAAGGUGUUCCAGGAAGUAAAUCUACGAUUGUCGGGUCCUUUUUACAGCAAUGUGGGGUGUUCCCCUUAAAUUUCGAACAAUCCCCUUGUUCAGUAGCCUGCCCUCCGACCAUGUUCCAUAUUACCUCCUUCUUUGCCCAUGUCCACCCUAGUGACCACCCAGGUGAUGAGAUAUGGCGAUAUUGUUGGAAGUUGUUAAUCGUAACAACGGCCUGUCAAUUCAAUUGUUUCUCAGACAUCAGAAUAAUUAUAAAAUGUGGCAUGGUGCACGAGAAUCCCACCUAGUGAGGUUUGUGGAUGGUAGAUGUACGGAGUCUUACACCCACAAGCGGAGAGGCUGUUUCCAAGAUUUGAACCUAUGACUUUUUAGUCAUUAAGCAGCAAUCUUACGGUAAUUCUACACUAGUACAGUGAAAGAGCCAAAAGCAUUUCAAAACUAUAAUUCUACGGCAGUUAAUUUGCUUCUAAUAUUAAUAGGUGAUAACGUAAACGAGUGUACUUACAAGAUAACCAUCCGGAUCCCAGCUCUUAAUAUCCCAUUUGAUUGUGAUAUUUCCAUUUGGGUCAAGUGGAUCAUAAGCUUCUGAAAUAGAAACAGACCAACACAAGUUGAGGUUAUUUGAGUGGAAAUUAAUUUGAAGACAGGAAAAAUGUGCGGCGCCGAGUAAUCAUUAAAGUUUUAAUCUUGCUAUACUACACAUUAAACAAUAGUGACAAUGGUGAAACAUAUGAAAAGCACUAUAGAAAUUAAGAGACACAAUUUAUGGACUAUAUAUAGUAAAGACUAAAGAACAAAGAAAGCGAGCAUUAUGAUCAAGAUAUAGGGUGACUACAUUCUUUACACACAAUUGUUUGAGAUUAUAAUAUUUCAUUACAAACCUUACUUUCCCUAACACACAAAAGCGGGGAAACUCUUCGAAAAUUCAUGUGUGCCAAUCGAGGUUUUAAAUUUGGGUCAGCGACUAAGCCGAUGUGUCAAAGUUUUAAGAGUGGCCACAUAGCAAUUGUCCACCAUAUAAAGGUUUUGGAAGUUUCUCAAUUAAUAAAGUUGGUACCUAUUCUUAUCCAACCCAAGCAUUUUAUUACAAGACAAAUACUCAUAAUAUCAAUUUCAUUGUUUUUUCGUACUACCAAGAGUAUCGUUUCAGCCUAUGGUAAGAAACUAAUCUCUUUCGGAAUGUGCGACCAUCCUUCCCAACAAAUGUCGUUCCCAAAACUCGAACCUUCGACGGCUUGACCUUUUAAUCUUUCUGGUACACCACUAGACCAACGUCUUGGUUAUCAAUUUCAUUGUUUGAUACCAAGAAAGAGUAAUCAAAGGAAACAAAACGCUAUGAAACAGGAAAAACCAGCAGAAGCUAAUAAAAAAAAUCAAUUUUUUUUAUAGAAAAAACUACUAUCUUUGCCAAAUGCAAAAGAACAAAGCUUGAUAUUAACCUCAAACAUUCAUGACAAAUCAACAGAGCUUAAGGUACAAGCCAUGCAAAAAAAAGAUAAAACAUAAAACAAAAAUAAAAAUGGCGUUUUGUGUAGACAUGCAAAGAAAAGUGGAGAACCCAUUAAUCAAAAACACAAAACCCAUGAAAAAUUAGAAAACUUUAGUGAGAAAAAAUGAGUGUGAGUGCACAAACCUGUUGAAGUGAAGCAAGUAGAAGAAAGUAUAAAGAAGAAGAAGAACAUGCAAGGACAUGGUUUAAGGAAGGAUUGGAUAAUGGGUAAUAAAAAAAACAUAACUUUUCUUUAUGUUUUGUUGAUGGAAAAUGAAAGAUUGUGUUGAAAGUUAUUGUUUUGUGAUGAAGUUGAAGAUAUUUGUUUGAGAAGAGAACACUGAAAUUGAAGAGAAUAAAACAGAACAUAUAUUUUGUUGGUUCCAGUUGGCAUAUGAAAGAAAUGCCACUGAGAUUGAAUUACCAUUAUACUAAGCAAUGCCACCAACAUAUUUUUAUACAAUUUUUAUUUGUUUCCACGUGUAUGCUCGCACCGGGACAAUCAUGUCCGAGUCAGGAAUAUCCACCGGUAUGUGGUGCUAACUCUCCCAACGAGCAUUUUUUCCAUCCACAAGACUCAAACCUGGAUUCUUGCUUAAGGGGAAUCAAGCAUGUAUCAAUUGAACCAAUGCAAGUUGGUUUUAUACAGUUUAUUUGAGACCUUUAUAACAAAUUUGUGUUAUUUUUAUGUAAAUUUUAAUAUUUUGACCUAUUUGAGCAUUUAAUUGAACCUUACAUUAAUAUAUAAUGAUUUGUUAGUAAAUUUGUAUUAUUUAGUGAUUCCUAAGUAAUACUCAUCUUAAAUUUAGUGAUACUUAGUGAUUCCUAAGUAAUAUUUAUCUUAAAACAUGUAUACUAAGGUUUUGAAUAGAUAAAUAACUCAGAUUUUAUAUAUGAUAUUUGACAUAAAAAACAUUAUGGGUAGAAACAAGACUUAUGUUAAUAAUUAUGUCUAAAAAUAUGAAUUGUUGGUGGGGAUAAUGAAAAAGUGUAUUGAGAAAAUACUAAAAUUAUAUAUGUUACUAGUAUAAAAAUUAUUUAUCUUACACUUGAAAAGUAAGUAUAGGAAGGAACAUGAUGAGAAAAUUACAAAGAGGAGGGAUAAAAAAAAUUAAAGUGUAAUAGAUUAGUAAAAGAAUUAAAAAAAUAUUGUAGUAAUGUAAGAAUUGUAUUAACCUUACAUUUUGUAUUUUAUUGUAGAAUAGAGAUAUUGGAUGGAAAUGGAGAAAUGAUAUAUAAUAAACUUAUAAGGAAAAUAAAUGAUACCAUGUGCUGUGAUUAAAGAAAUGGUUUUCAAAUUUGGAACUUUGCCAUGAUUAACACAUAACACAGUUUUGCAAAAUUGAGUUCACUUUUGAAUAUUUUGAUGAAUUUGGCAACAAAUGUUAAGCUCCUUAUUACUUUAUUUUCUUACUAUUAAUUUUAUGUUAAACACCACUUUUUUAAGAAAAAGCUAAGCUAUUAUUAGAUAAGUUGGAUAAAUAAUCAAUUAGCUUGCACAAGUUUCAGCCGAGCUUUUCUGAAGCAAUAGUUAUGUUAUGCAUAAAUUACACUGACAUUUGUGAAAUUAUAUAAGCUACUUUUUUUAUAUUUUUAUUAUAUUAACUACCUUCCAUUGAGAAAUAAGUGUAAUCUUUUAAAUAAAAAAUAUGAUAAAUGCAAUUAAGUUAAAUAGAACAUGAUAUGGUAUAGAGACAACCCCAAAUAAUAUACAAACCAAUGUAUCUUUAUUAUUUUUGUUACAAAAUGCAUCAACAAUUCUAAAGAUAUAUUGUUUAAAUCGUUCUUAUACUAUAUCGUAACGAACCAAAUAUAAUAAAGAAGUAUUGACUCAUAUAUUAUUUGGAUUUGUCUCCACAAUAUACCAUAUUUUGUUUAAAUUAAUUGCAUUUAUCACAUGUUUUGUUUAAAAGAUUACACUUAUUUUUCUCAUACAGGAGUGGUCACUGUAUGAAAGUACAAAAAUUAUGGAGUUUGUAUGAAUGUAAAAAAUGAAGAAUGAUUUAUAUAAUUUUACUAAAAGUCAUUAGGUCGUGAGUGUAAUUUACUCUUAUUUUAUCUGGAGAAUUGAAAUUGAAGGCCCCAAGUCCUAAUAGUUUUCAUGCUUUCAUGUUUUAUAUUUUAUUAAUUAUAAAGGCAAGUGGAAAACAUGUUUUAUCUUUCCUCUUCAUAACAUAACUUCCCAUUUUUUGUAAUCACAUGUGAAGAUGUGAUUGUAUGUUGUUGACAAUGUUCCAGUUUUGGUAGGUAUUGUUAUUUAUGGAUGCCCAUAAUUUCUUAAUCUAAGGAUCUCAUGAUUCUUUCAGUUUCUUUUUUUGUACGGAAAAAAUCGAGUACACAUUUACUAUCCUACAGAUUACGUCACCGCAUGUACUACUAACUUGUGAGUGGGUAAAAAAAUAUGUGUAAUUUAAAAAAUUAAUAAUUAACUAUUUUUCUGAUCAAUCAUAACUAAUGACACAACUUGUGUACCAAAAAAAUCAUGGCAGUCUAGAUAUGUUAUCUCAUAAAUUAUAUCACUUCAUAUGCUUUUAAUUGUGAUUAGUUGAAAAAAAUAAUUUUGACAAAUCACAAUUGAUGAUAUAUAAAGUGAUACAUAUUGUGAGACAGAAAAUAUGCUCCCCAAUGUUUAUCCUUUAUAUAAAAUAAGAGUAAAGUAUUUCUUGGUAUAAAGAGAUAAGUUAUCUCCUUCGACCACUAAAAUUAUGACAUGUAUUAUAUUUGAUCAUUUUUUACAAAAAUAUUUCUAAAAAGUAAAAUAAUUAGUCCUUUUGUCAUUCUUUUAAUGGUUGGAAUAUCUUCCUACGUAAAACAAAUGUUUCUACACUUGCUUCAACUGUACUAAACUAAAUAUGAUUUUUUUUGGUUAAUAUUGUUCAAACCAUUGUAAGUGGUUAUUGACUUUGUAUUCAUGGCAAUAUGAUUCAGAUGAAAAAUGAAGAUUGGUAUGAAGCAUUGUGUGGAAAAUCCAUGAGGUUAGCAAAGUUGUGAAAAUGAAGAUAUCAAAGAAAUUCUCAUGGAAAAUAUUGAGAAGGCAUAACAAAGAAUUAAUAAGUUUUAUAAAUUAUCACUGCAUUAUUUAUCAUUUACCGACCGUAUAUAAAUCUUUGUACUGACAGUGCAAAGAUAUUACACUUUUUGUUGCUUCUGUGCUUAUUAAAUUUCAUGACACCAAUACAACUAUGUAUUUAUGUGUAAAUCAUUCAUUAUCUUUCUGAAAGUGAUAUCAACUUUCCUUGGUCCUAUGAGACUACAAAAUUUUGUGACCCCAAAUACAAGUAAAUUGUGUUCAUCCACUUUGUUUGUGGUUCAUAGAGGCUGUCCUACUUAACUCAUCAUUUUGAUCUUCUAAUUGACUCAAACCUCUGGAUAAGGGACGGUGCUGUCGCCUAUUCUUUAUCCGUAAUAUUACCUGCGAAACUUCGCCUAUCGAAGGGCGUUUCUUCGGUGAUUUGUGCAAGCAUUUAUGUGCAAUUAUAGCAAGCUGCCUAACUUCUUCGAUGUCGCAGUUUUCCACAAGUUGCUUGUCAAGUAUCCCAUCUAUGCCAUCGUGAUCCAUUGCAGCCUUGCAGUAAAACAUAAAUAAGCAAAAUAUGAAGAAAUUAUAUAACGGCUAUAGUAUCGUAACUUAAGGCGAAGAAGCUUUUUUUCCAUAGCUAAAAUUACUUACAAGGCCAAUAUAUUCCAACAGAUUUUGAUGUGGGUGGAUGGCAGUGAUGAGCUCAAAAAGUAUGAUACCGAAACUGUAGAUAUCGCUCUUCAUCGUUAACUUGCUUGUGGAAACGUAUGCCGGAUCGAUGUAGCCAUAUGUACCUUUAAGGCCACAAUUCUGGCCAUCGAAGGCCUCUUCCUUUGAGAGCCCAAAAUCAGCAACCUAGAAACGAAGUUUUAUAAUUGAUAUCAGGCAAAAAAAGAUGUUAAUACUAUUAAUGUCAACUAUGCCAAAUCUCAAGGUUGAACAAUAAAUUUUGUUUCAUUGUAACUGCAUUUGCACAAAUCCUAACAAUGAAUAUUUCGAGUUCCAACUCGGAAAAUUUGAUAUUACGACUGUUUUCCCUGAAACUAACUCUGCAAUGUAACCAUAACAUGUUAGAAAGUCAUUCUAAAUAAAACCUAUAGCAAAAGUAUAUAAUGAAGAUCCGGCGAGGAGUGUGGAAGACAGUGACUUCAAAGUUACGAGGUGGGAAUGAGUUUCACGAUGUUCUAUCAGUUAUCAUUAGGUGUACAUGCUAAAAGAAUAGAAUCAACAUUUUUUUGCAGACACAUCGUAAAAUUUAUUAUGCUCUAUAUUUUUUCUGGACCGCAUAACCAGCUAAGGAUAAUGUUGCUUGAUUUUAAACCUUAUGUAAUAUGCAAAUUUAAGAAAACGACUUGGCAAUCGAACUACUGAAAAGUACUCGCAGGGCACAAGAUUACCUUAGCUCUCAUUGAGUUAUCUAGCAAUAUAUUUGCCGACUUCAGAUCACGAUGUAUGACGGGUGGGACAGCCUGUUCCGUGUAUAUUCAUAUUAGCCAAAUACAUUUGCAAAUAGGUUUAAGAGAAAGUGUAUCUAGAACAUACAUACUCCUUCAUGAAGGUAUUGUAUUCCAUGUGAAAUAUCAAGGGCAAUUUGCAACCUUUCAUCCCAACUCAACUUCUUUUCUCCACCUAGAUGCAACCAUAGAUUAUUUCAAUGGUGAAAACUUAAUUUGUAAAAUAAAAAGAAGGAAAAUCGAAAAGAAACAUUCAAUGAUCGUGUGAAUAGUAAAAAUGUAAACAAAGUAAGAUCAUGCUAUCUAUUUGACAUAAUCAUGCAAGUCUUAACAUAUAGAUGUUACAUAAAAAAAAUCUUGAGAUUCUUAGUUUCUUACCAUAUAGAAGAUUUCCUAAACUCCCGUUACUCAUGAACUGAUAAACCAGUAUGCGCUGUCCUUUAUCUACACAAUAUCCAACCAAAUUCACAAGAUUCCGAUGAUGCAGUCUUCCUAGCAGAACCACCUGGACCAACAUAUUGUUAAGAAUCAAAAAAUGUUCAACAAGCUUCGCUGGUGACUGAUGCUAGUUUUAUAGCCUAGUCCGUUGAAUCGAUCAAAUUAGAACUACUCACCUUGUACAUAAAACAUAGUGAGAGUAAGUGAUUUUCCCCGUAAAUUUUAAAUUACUAAUGCAUUCUGUUCUGAAACAUGAAGGAACACAUUGCCUCUGUAGGCAUGUCCAAUGAACCAUGGUGAAAUGCAAAUACAAACUUGUAAUCGGAACACUAUAUAUGCUGUAACUUUGAACAAUAAACAUCUUUAUGUACAGGGCACUUUAUGCAAAUGUAAAUGAUCGUAGUUACCUGCACGGUUACUCUCGAUUUAUCAUUUUGAUUCAAGCCAACCAACAAGCAUCAACUCAUUAAUGAAUUUUCCAUUGGUUUAAUGCUUUUAAAAAAUAUUAUGUUUAUGAUCAAAGGAAAGAAGAAAAAAAGAGGCUUGGGAAAGAAAGAUAUAUGAUAGCUAUAGAAUCCUUUUCUGAUACUAAAUACAUCGAUAGUAAAAUUAUUUAAAAAAAAAUAAAUCUGCAUAUAAAAAUAGUUAUUGACUUAUACCUCUGUUUGGAAUUCUUUCUCCCCUUGUUUGGAAUCGGUUGCAAGCACCUUUACGGCUACUACCUCCCCUGUAGCCAUUGUUGCUUUAUAAACUGUUCCAAAUGAUCCUUGUCCCAAGGUAGUUGUGAAAUUUUGUGUGGCCCUUUGAAUUUCUCUGCAUCACAUAAAGUUUCAUAUACACCAUUAUAAAAGUUAAUGUCCCUCUAAUAAUUUUUUCAUUUGUGAGUAAGUACAUGUCAUAAUUUCUCCUUUUCUUCUUUAUUCCAAACAAAUAUGCAAUCGAAAUAUAAUUUUGCUAGGUAGUUGCUCAGACAUAUGAAGAAGUUUCCUUAUAAAAUAACGAUAUAUAUAUAUAUGCUUUCCGAUAUGACAAAAAUAAAUAAUCAAAACCUUUUAUAUCAGUACUUUUAUGCUUGUCAUUUCAUAAGCAGAACAAUUUCGAAAAAAGAAAGAGUAAACCUCGUGCUCAAGAGAGAACGAACAUACUUGUAUGAGUACUUAGGAAUGCCCGAUUGUGAAGCGAAGUGAUCUUUGCUUUGACAACUCCACCAGCUGAAAGGGGAAUAACUUUUAACAUUUUCUGACAUGGAUAUGGAACUAGUAAUGGAUGCACUGAAGUCGGUGCUCGUGUCCAAUCCAUUUGUUCGUAUUGGAAGAGUUGUUGAAGUACCCUCACUUGCAGAUCGUGUACUAUUAGACCACUUCUUAUACCACCUUAUGCCGAAAAAUACGAGGCAAGAGAUCAGAAUUCCGAGGGCCAAACCAGCAGUGAUACCAAUGGUAAUUAAUUCAGCUUGCAAAUUCAUUCUCUGAUCUCUCUUUAAAUUCAAACAAUGAUAACAUCUUGCACAAGACUAGUACUACAGAGGCUCACCAACACAAAAUCGGCACAACUCUAUGUUAGUUCAAUAAUCCAUACAACCAUAAUUGACAUAAACAGAACUCUCGAGAGAGAGAGAGUAAGGGAUUCAAACGAAACAAAUUAUCCAUCUUUUCAUAGAUGAGAGGGGAGAAGCAUUCUCCUAUACAAGUGUCUAUCUUCUGAUGAAAGAGGGUUUAUAUCGAUGCCUCAAUGAUCAAAAUAAAAAUAUAUAUUGGAUGGACAUUUAUUGCAAAUGCAACAAGAUAUGCUCAUUAUUUCAGAAUUCAGAAAUUAAAGUGUCAUACAACAGAAAGAAAAUUCAAUGGAAAAAAGAGGAAUCUAAUCAAAUAAGCAUAGAAACUAUCAACAUUCAAAACAUAUAUACUCUUUAAAUAUGUGAACUAAAUCUCUGACUUAAGUAAAGAACAUAAAAUGUGCACCAGAAUUCUGGCAAUAAUAAACUACACUUUUUCUUAUUAUUCACAAAUUUUAAUGAAAAUCAACAGAACUGCAUCAUAUUACUGGUGAACCCCUGACAGAUACAUCAUAGAUCCAAAGAAAUUGGCAAAAUUAAUAAAACCAUGUGCCCAAAAUAUAUCUAUUUUACCAUCAAAGUGUUGGUCUAAUGGUGUAAGGCUCCGCUAGAUCCCAUGAUGACCAAAAGGUCAAGAGUUCGAUUCAUAGGGGCGACACUUGUUGGGAGGGACAAACACGAUCCCCGAAAGGGAUUAGUCCUUACCCAUAGGGUGAUGGAAUCCCCUUCGUAGUACCCAAAAAAAAUAUCUGUUGUUUCCAUUCUAUGUUUCACAUAGCAAUAUUUGCUUCAAGGUUUAAGAUACAGUGUUGUAUUCACAAACCCAUCUACAUCAAUUAAAUGUUCACCAUUCUCUACUAUUCCAACAAACAUUGACAUAUAAAAAAGAGCACCAUUUUCCACUAUUCUCAUAGAACAUAAUUCAAACAAAAACUAAAACAAUAUUCUCCAAAGAAACAAAUCAUGCAAUCCAUAAAACUCAACAACCCAACAAGCCAAAUUAAACAAAGAUCAAAUCUUUCAUUGAUAAACCCAUGAAAUGGAAGCAAAAAAAUCACAGAAAGGAAUACUCCAUGAAAAACCCCACAUACCUAAUCAGCAGAAAAAUGCAUCCAUAACGAAAAAGUUGUGAUUUUUAUCUUUUGGGUCAGUGAAAUAUAAACUACGAUUUAGAAUUUGAGGCUGCAUUAUAGUUGUAGGUGGUUUUUUGGAGCAUAGUCAAUGGUAUGGAAUGUGUAUUGUCUAUUGAGAUGAGCGAGUAAAAGAAAAGAACUUGAAGAGACUUGAAUUGCAACAAAUAUGGGAAUGAAAUUUCAACCCCAAAUAUAAAAAUAUUAUUUUAUAUUUUUACAAUUUUUCUUUUUAAUUAAGUAUUAUUUUUUAAUCAGAUGUGGACACAAUUGAGUCAAUAGUUAAUAUACCAAAAGAGAAUAUAUCACUCUACAAGACACUUAUUCUGAUUGGUUAUAAAAUAUAUAUUUAAAUUUAAUAAUGAAAUAUUUUUCUGACAAAUAAAAAAAUGAUUCAAAGAAUAAUAUUUUUUUGGAUAUAAGGUGAUCUAACACAACUACAUCUAAUUUCCAUUCUAUGAAGUGAAGAUCUUAAAAUAGGUUUGAAUUAAAAUUUUAUUUAGAGAAAUUAUUGCAUGUAAUUGUAAAGUAUCCACCUUAAACCCACCUGUUAAUAAUUUAGAAUAAACUGGAUUAUUAUUAAAUUAUUGUAAUUUUGGAAUAUCAAUUGUUUUAAUCAUAUAUUCUACUUUAUUGAUCUAGAAGUAAUAUUUUAUCAAUAUUGAAUAUUUCAUAUGAACUAUUAAUCUUAGAAAUAUUAUUACUUUUAGAACAUAAUUCCUAAAGUAUAUAAUAAUUUAUUAUUAUUUUGAAAAUAAUAAAGGAGGAAUAUUUGUGAUGGAGUUGAUAGUCAACCACCAUUUAUGUGGGGUUGAAGUCAAGGGAAAGUGGCUUUUAAUUUAAGGUUUUUUUAUUUGAAAAGCGAAAAUAAAUUAGCUAGCUAUGGUGAAUAAUCAAGGGAUAGUGAGUAUUAUAUUAAAUAGGUUCUUCAGUUUUUUGGUCAAUUAUAAUUAUUUAAGGGAGAAUGUUAAUUCAAAAGAGAGAGAAUGUUAAUUAAAAUGAGAAAAAAUCUCACCUCUUAUGUUCAAGGGAAGUAAGAUAAAAUGGAUGGAAAGAAAAAUAAUAGAAUAUAUAAUAGUAUAGUUGUUUGGUAUAAAAGAAGAAUAUAAUAUCUAGUGUAAGAUUUAUAUAUAGUUAGUGUAUUAUUUAUUAUUCAUUUGUAUUACUUUAACUUAAAAGUCAAUGAUAAUUGAAAGUAAAUGAUAUAUAAUAUAAUGAUAAUAUAAAAAUCUCUUACUGUAUCAAUAUAUACAUUUUUUCACAUUAAAAGAAAAUAUUCCAUAAAAGUUGCUCAAACUUUUUUAUAGGUUAUAAGUUGUGAUAUUAGGAAAAGUGACUAAAAUCUAAGUUUUUUAAUAGAAAGUUUUUGUGCCUACCAUCCAUUCUCAUUUUUCCAUUUUCCACACAAAUUAGGCAUUGUGAAUUGUUUUUUCUUUCCAAUCAUUUCUCUCAUUAUCUUUUCAUGUCUUUCAAGCAUUGUCUUUAAGGUUUGAGUUGAAGAUAAAUUUUAACAAGUAAUUUUACAUUAAAAAUGACUAAUUGAUUACUAUGAGAACUAAUGGACAUAGGUAGGCAAUAUACACUUAUAUUAAUUUAACUUCUUAUCAUUGAUAAUUGUAAAGGAAUUAAGGAUGAAAAGGAGAAUUUAAAGAAAACUCCCGAUUUUCUCUUAUUUGGUUGAAGAAAGAAAUGAAAUCUCAUAUCUUCUCUACUCAUCCUUAACGUGAAAGUGGAAAAAACAGAUAGGAGUAACUAUUUAUUGGAAAUUUUGUCCUAAUAGCGUGAUAUAAAUAGAUACUUACUUAUUAUUACUCACUCGAACUUUUGGUGUUUAAUGUUACACAUAUGGAAUAAAAAUAAAUAAAUAGUGUCAAAUUAUAAUGUAUUUUGACUAAUAUAUAAUAUUUAAUUCUCAUUUAUUCAAUAUUAUUAAUAUCAUAUUGGUUACCAAACUAUUCAAAAUACUUACUUAUAUAAUGAUAUAAUAAUUCACUAUUAAAUCGUACACCAAUUUAGUUUUAUAUAAUAAUAUUAUUUCGAUCAUAUAAUUUAAUUAUUGCAUUUAUAUAUUAUAAAAAAUUAAGAAUUUCACAUUUUUAAUAUGUUCUUUUGAAAAUUAUAAAACAUUCCUCCAAAAUUAUUAUAAAUGAUUUUAAUUCAUAUCAUAAAACACUGCUAUUUAGAUAAGUAUAAUAUUUAUAUAUUAUAAAUUUGUAGAUAAUCAUUAUAUUAUCCAUGGAGAUUCAUUUCAACUAUUUUUGGGGGUCAUUGCUUUGCAACAUGUUGGGUCCACAUGUGUAGGUAGAAUUUGAUAUGAUGUUUCCCAAACUUUAUUCAUUAUAUUAUUCAGUUUUGAAUAAAGUAUCUUUUCAACAUUAAAAAAAACAUGUACUACAUGACAAUGGGAAUCAACAAUAUUUUAUACACAUGUUGUUGGAAUCAACAUUCCACCAUUUCCAAUGAGAAUAAAAAUCUAUCAAAGUCAUGGGAAUAACACCUCAUAAUCAUUUGUUGAUACGGAAAUUCUCUAAAACAUGCUAUAGCACUGUAACGAUUCCAGAACACAUCUUCUACCUCGUAAUAUUUGUCAUUUCAUAUAUGAUAAGUUAUAAUUUGUCAAUAACAUAUUUAAUAAUUAUAUUUUAAAUUAAAUAUAUUUUCUUCAAUCAAUUAUAAAUUAUGAUAUAUAUAGUGAUAUACACUAUGAGACAAAAUAUAUACUUUCCAACCAUUUAUACAAAUUUAAUAAUUUUCAUAUAUGAUUAUUAUAUUCCAUUCUCUUAGUGAAAGAACACAAAUUUUUGCCAAAGUUGAAGUUAAAAUAAGAACUAAGAUAUAUUGAAAAUUGUAUGUUAUGUUUAUGACGACUAUUUAACAAGAUACACUAUAUUAUAAUAAUUUUUAGGAAAUAAAGUAUUUGGUCAAUUAAAAAUGAAAGGUAAUAAUAAUGGAAUUUCAUGUGAUAUACAUUUAUAGUUACUACAUCUAUUAAUUAACUAUAUUUCUGAAGAAAUUUUGUUACUACUACAAAAACCAUUUGUCUCCCAAAUAUGAUAUUUUGACUCAAAAUGAACAAUUAUGCAAUUUAUAUCUUGCAUAUAUUAUAAAUUUAAGAAUUAUGAAUAAUAUACUUGUCUUCCAUUCAUUCACGUCUCUUAAUUAAAAUCUAUACCCUGACAGUGUAAAAAUUUAUGCACAUACACUUCAUUAUUUACCAUUCAUUUAGAUUACUUUUUUUAAAAGGUCAACCAUAAUUAAAUAUCAAUGAUAAAUGAUACAAUAAUAAUGUAUAAAACUAAUACAUUGUCAAUGUAUACAUAUUUUUCUCUUACAUAUCUAGUUAACUACUCACAUGACCAAACGUUUUGUGUCCACUAUGCCAAUUUUGACAGGUCAAUGAAUUACAUCAUUUUUUUUUUGUCAUUUUAUUUAAACAAAACAACAACGUUUUGGUUAAGUUAUGAAAAACAAUUGUCCAUAAAAGUUUGGAAGAUUAAAGAACCUACAAGUUCUAUUAUGAACAUGAAUUAGGAAACAAUACUAGAACAUCAAAGUUUAUUCAUUAUAAAUAUAGUAAGGUACACUUCCACAAUCAAUAAUAAAUUUUGACUACGUCACAUAAAUAAAAUUUAUAUGCUAAUAAUGUUUAGCAUCAUCUCUAAAUAAAUCUCCCACUAAAGCUUUACAACAAAAUACUCAUGCAUCAAUUUUUAUUAUUAUUAUUAUUAUAUGUUUAUUUUUAUUAUAUCAAAUUCAAUAAUUUUAUUGUGAUUUUUAUAGCUUUCCAUUUUAAUAUCAUAAUAAAAUUUUAACAUUUAUGCAUUUGCAACAUAAUUUUGUUCACAUAAUCAUUACACAAUCAAUCAAUUAUGUGUAUUAAUUUAAUUUCAAAUCCAAAAUAAUUAAUACAUAAGUAAGAUAAUUUGUUAAUAAUAUAAAUAAUUAUUUUAUUUUUAAUAACUUUGGUUUUUAUUUAAAAUUAUCAUACUCUUAUAUCCUAUUUUUAUAUACAAUAAUAAUAGAUCUAUAUGGAAUUAAUUUAAGAUACAUAUGCAAUAUGGUUGAAUUAUCCCUUCAAAUUGAAAUAAAUCUUAUAAAAAUAGGAUAUUAAGAAAAUAUAAUCUAAAAAAUAAAUGUUUUAAGAUACGUUUCACUCCUUUUCUUUUUCGUAUAAAAAAAAACGUUUCGCUCUUUACAACAAUCAUCACACUUUUUUGAGAACAAGGAAUGGGAGGGGUGACGUCAUCAAUGGCGGCGAAGUUGGCGUUCUUCCCACCGAGUCCACCGUCGUACACGGUGGUGGAAGAAGUAGCGGGGACGAAGAUGAGGGAAUUGGAAUUAAGGGAAAACAUUGAGAUAUUCAAAGUUACGACGGAGAAAGGGAACAGUAUUGUUGCUAUGUAUAUAAAGAAUCAAACGGCGUCGUUAACGGUGUUGUAUUCUCAUGGAAAUGCUGCUGAUCUUGGACAGUUGUAUGAUUUGUUCAUCCAACUCAGUGUCCACUUUAAAGUCAACAUCAUGGGGUUAGUUAGUUACUUACUUCAAUUUCGCGGAGACUCUCAAAAUCGCAAUAUUUUAGUCGUACUUAUGUCGCGAACCGCAAUUUAAAACCUCGGGAUUGUGUUUAGACACGUGGCGUGAUGUGAGUGUUGUGCUCAGUAUCAAAAUUUGAAAUUGAGAAAAAAAAUUAUACACGAAAUGGUUAGGGAAGAUUUAGAUAUUAAUGUUUUAUUUUAUCUGUAAUGCGUUAUGAAUGUGUUUAUAUCCAUGUAGCCGAUCCGUUUGGUGAGAACGAGGCUUGAUUGUUGUUGUUGUUGGUGAUUGGAUUGUGAUGCAUGCAUGCUCAUAGCGCACAUGCUUAUGUGGAAGGAAUAUGAAUAAUUUAGUUAGGGUUCAUUUUACGAGUUGGUUUUUGGAGGGUAAAGGAAAUUGUUUGCAAAUCUUUCCCUUCCCUCGAUUACCCGUGUGGAAUGGUCCGAUAUUAAUCCGACAUUUUAUGAGUCUUCAAUGCUUCAUCUAACAACUUAUGCUUUUGGUAGAGUUGGUUCUCCACCCAAACUAGUUCAGAUUUUAAAUUAUGUGUAUGGUUCAGUCAUUGAAUUAUUCAAACUCAUUUCAUUUUAGUCUCUAUUAAAGACAAAGUCAGACUAGUUUUAAAAUAUAUAAUCUAAGGAUUAGAUUGUCAUUUAAAUUCAGCAUAUAUAUAUAUAUAUUUAAGGGACUGAAAUGUUAGUGUAAUGGUUUUCUUUAUUUGCUAACCUAUUAGAGACCUAUGGUAAUAUCUCAAUUGUCUGGGUUUUCUUUUUUUACUCUGCAGUUAUGACUAUUCUGGGUAUGGACAGUCCUCUGGUAAGGUAUGUUUUUUCCCGUUCAAUGACGAUGAUAUCGUUAUUAUUUUUAUACCUUUACAUGGUUUUAAAGUUCAUCCCUCCUUGAUAAAGAUGACUGUAUUUAAAGCAUUUGAACUUGAAAUGGUGACUGGAACUUAAUAAUUUAUUUAAACGCGAUAAGUUUUUGUAUUGACGAAUAGAAUUGUGUUGACCCUUAGUGAAUGAAAUGUUGGGAAUAAUGCUCAAAUAUAAGUCUGACUUAACUUUUCUCAAGUAAGCUUCAUAGCUAUUAAAUAAAAGUAAAAAAAGUGAAUUCAGGGGUUUAGUUUUUGUGUGAUUGUUCCAUAUUUACCUUAGCGUGAAUUCAACAAUGUAUUAUUUUUAUGGACAGCCUAGUGAGCAGAACACUUAUGCAGAUAUAGAAGCUGCUUAUAAAUGCCUUCAGGAGAAGUAUGGGGCGAGAGAGGAAGAUAUUGUCCUGUAUGGGCAAUCUAUUGGUAGUGGACCUACUGUAGAUUUGGCUGCUCGUUUACCGAACCUUAGAGCUGUGAUUCUGCACAGUGCGGUGUCAUCUGGCCUUAGAGUCAUGUAUCCUGUGAAGCGCACAUACUGGUUUGACAUUUAUAAGGUCUUACCUCUAUCAGUACUAGAUUGGUGAAUCAUAAUAAUGUUCAAUUUUGGUCAAUUUUAAUGUUGUUUACUUUGUUUUCUUGCAGAACAUUGAUAAAAUUCCCUCUGUGAAUUGUCCUGUUCUGGUAAUUCAUGUGAGUAUACUUCUUACUUCUCACAGAUAUCUCGACUAUUUUUAGUUAGAAACUAGAUAUGCCAUUGUAUAGAAGAGGCUGCUAAGUUGGAGUUAUUAUCUACUAGCUUUUCAUAGUUUCCUUAUUAAAUGUUUCUUUGGCCAGUGCUUUUUAUGUGAAGAUAAUUUCCUUCAGUUGAAAGCUAUCUCAUGAUUAUCCCUCCCUUAUGCAUAGUCUAUGUUGCAUGGGUAAUUCAAAGAAGGUGAGGUCCCCAUACCGGAUAUUGGUACUCUUGGGGUACUAAUUUGAUGUAAAUUGUUUUAAAAUUGUGUCAUUCUGGACUAGAAACAUAGGGUUUUCUCAUUUUUUUUCUUAUUCAAAUUAGAAUGCUAAAUACGAGCCACAUGAUUAGUCUCUCAUCUUCACAUUUCAGUCUGUUUGGGUCUCAACCUCUCAUUCUAUGUUUCUCGCAUCCUCUGCUAGUGGGACUUUAAUCAUUUCUACCUAAUUAUAUUGGCGUACCCGUACCUUAGGAAUUUAAAAAAUGUUGUAUCUUGUACGUGUAUCCGUACCGAGUACCAUGGUCACACUCAUAUUCAUGCAACAUAGCAACAUGUCUACCUUAUUCAUACAAUGUACUGUAGUUUUUGAGAAAAUGUUGAACCCCAUACCCAGUAUGUACCCGUGCUGGUGUAACACAGUGUAUAAUGAUUUUGAUUUCUCUACAUAUUCUGAGCAUUCCAAUUAACUGAUUCGAACCACAUGAACUUGUUAAUGUUGUUUAGAGCUAUAUUCUGAUUUAUGUAGUUGGUUCUCUCUCUAUUUCUGGAAAUUUUAAUAACUGUUGUUGUUGUUGUUCACUUACAUCAAUUUGUAUUUGGCGCAACAGUAAGGUUGUUGUUUAGUAACCAAGAGGUCACGGCUACAAAUCCUAGAAGCAGCCUUUCCGCUUGCAGGAAUAAGGCUGUAUACAUCUAUCCUCCCAAACCCCACCAAGUGGGAGUCUUAUGCAUUGGGCCAUCUCUUUUUUAUCUAAUGUGGUUGUGCUCAAUAUGCCAAAUUAUUUCUUAUUUAUGAACUGUGUAGCAUUACAGAACUAAGGGCUGUGUUUCAAUUUCAAGCAUGUGUACUUAUGUAGUGAGAUUGUGCUUUGUGUUGACAUCUAUCUUUUAGGGAACUGAUGAUGAUGUAGUGGAUUGCUCCCAUGGAAAGCAACUUUGGGAACAUUGUAAGCAAAAAUACGAGCCCUUAUGGAUUGACGGAGGAACACAUUGUGACCUGGAGCUUUACCCUCAAUAUAGAAAGCACCUCAAGAAAUUCAUUUCAGUCGUUGAGAAGUUACCGCGUCGAAAGACUGAAUAUGAAUCCAUUCCUGAUCAAUUGGAAAAACCUCAGAACAGCACAGAUUCUAUAGAGAACUCCAGAGCCAGCAUGGACCUAAGGGCGAAUUUGAGACACAGUUUCGACUACAAAGAAACAUCUAGUACAAGCAUAUAUCAUAAAGAGAAGUCUAGAAGUAGUAUAGAUAAGAGAGACAAGACAAGAAAGAGCAUAGUUCAUUCCGAGAAGGCAGAAAAUGGAAUACACAUGCAUCAGAAGGCUAGAAUUAGCAUUGACCGGUCCGAUAUAAACCAUGUCCAACUUAGUGAGUUUCCAUACCAGUAAUUUUGUUUCUGACUUUAUUUUUUCUGUAUUUGGUUGCAGUUUUGGGGAGAAGGUGAGAUCAGUUGGUUUGUUCAAUAUUAAUUGUUUCAGGCCCACAGUGACUCAGGCAUAAAGAAGAUGGAAGAACUUACACAGAGGUUUCAAUUUUCUCAUUAAUUAUUUGAUUGGAAUAGGGUUGAUUCCCCUUCCUUUUAACCUUAUUUUUUAACCAAGAACAAUAAAAUUUUAUUGGUUGAUGGGGUUAGUAGAGGAUCAGUAAAUACUUGAUUGUGCAUGAUCUAUUUUCUGAAGGUAUAGAUAGGAAAGUAAUAUAUAACCUUAUGGAUGAUUUGGUCCUAAAUCUGCUUUCAUGUUCAUAAUCUACAUUUGUUUUAUCAUGCUAACACAAACGCAUAAAGUUUGAUUCUACUAUUGGAUUAUGAGUCUGGAUCCUCUCCUGUAAUGGAGAGGCCAGUACCAGUGUAAGAUCAUGACACGUGUCACAGUUAUAAUUAAGGGUCCAGAUUCUACUAUUGUUUUUUUUUUUGUAUAACACAAUUUCCAAUCUUAACCUAUCUAGACAUGUGUAAUAACUUUGUGGGUAUACAUCGGCUGUCCCACAAGUUACAUCACUGCAUGUGUUAUCAACUAUGAUUGAUCAGAAAAAUAGUUAAUUAUUAAUUUUUUAACUUCAAAAUAUUUUUUCAAACAAUCAUAAGCUGAUCGUAAUGCAAUGGCGUAAUUUCUGGUGGAUGUGCUCUCUAAAAAGGGUAAUUACUGAAUUGUUGGGGGCAAUUUCAAAGAACAUGAGUCCUGAAUUGUUGGGGGCAACAAAGUCUAGUGUCACUUUACAACAAAUUAAGAUAACCCAUUUGAAUAAAAACAAUUUGUAUGGUGAAAUUAAUCUUCCAUCUCUAACCACCAUUGAUCUUUCUUUUAAUCAAUUAAUAAAAUUUAUUUUAAUCAAUUAAUAGAAAUUUAUUUUAUGGUAAAAUUCCAACAAGCAUUUCUAUCUUGACUUUUCUUUGUGGAAUACAUUAGUUUCCAACCUAAACUCUUUCUUUAUGUAAUUAUUUAAAUUUAAUAUAUUCAAUAUAACUCUUCUAUAUUAUUGCUCUUUUAUUUAAUGGUUAUUUUUAAUGAUAAGCGAAAGUCUAAUUUUAAGUUUGAGCAUGUAAUGAAGAUCAAGUUUUAAAAAUGUUGGAUAUUUAGAGAUUUAAUAGUGAAAUAAAAUCCAAAUUUCUUUUCAUCAAAUUCAAUUACCUUUUAAGUUGUUGGUAUUUUACAAGUUUUCGUUAACCAGAUUCAAAAAACUAUUAACUAAUUAAGUAAGCAACUAGUUCUAAAUAUUUUAAUAUCACAUAAGUCCACAUGGAUACGAUGACUCUGUACACUAGUUUACGAUAACCUGAUUCAAUAUUUUAUUUACUAAUUUGUCAAUUAACAAUAAUACAUAAAUAUUAAAUUUCAUAAUUUUUUUAUUUAUGCAAUAUAUUAUUCACACGAUAAAAUAUAUUCUAAAUUGAAUUAACAAAAUCCUUAUAUGACACUUGUUAGUAGUGGUAGUCUCGAACUCCGAAAAAAAUUAGUUUCUUGCCUAACAAAAGUAUAGAAAUGUUUAGCAUAACUACAUCUCACAAUCUCUCAUGUUUAAAUCAUUAUACUCAUCUCCCUUAAUCAAUAUAAUUAUACUUAACUCCCUAAUGAGGAUACUCAAUGUAAUGUAUUUACAUAAAUUAUGAGUGAUUGUGUAGAUGUAAAAAGAAGAUGAAUGAUUUAUAUAAUUUAAUUAAAUGUAGGAUAAUAAUUUCAUUUACUUUAAAACUAUAUUUCCCUUUCUAUCUUCUCGGAUGAAUUUAAUGGAUUUCUUAGUUUUUGUGUGGUAUACCGCAUAUUAAUAUAUGACAUAUAUUCACAAAGUUUGGAUACGCUUCUUUACUUUCUUUUUUUUCAAAUAGAAAAGUGAUUAUUUUGAAUAAGAAAAUCAUUUUAUGAUAUUUGCAUAUUUUUUUAGUUUAAUAUGCACACCCAAUAUAAAUUUGAUAUAUAUUUAGUAUAUUAUAGCCUCAAGUAAUUGUAAAUGUUUCCAGCUUUGCUAGGAUUGUCUUUGGUGCAAGAAUACUUGUGAGAAAUAAAAAAAGCACACUAUACAACAUUUAUUUACAUUUUUUUUGAAGAAAAAAUCAAUAAUGAUAAAAUAUGAAUGAUUAAUAUAUAAUAACAAUGUAUAAAACUCAUACACUAUCGAUGCAUAUUGUUUUUUGUUAGACCUUUAUAUGUUUUAUAAAAGAAGAAAAGCUACAAAAAGAAGGGUGAUGAUCCACUUACUUCUAGAGUAAGCUAAAAAACCUAUUCUAUAUCUUUACUAUCUAUUCUAGUAAAAUUUAAUGAUUUGAAUUAAUAAGUAAAUAUAAAUCAUUGAAUUAAAUAUAAUAGAUGAAUAAAAUGUAGAGUACAUUUUUUAACUUACUCUUAGAGUAAGUUUAUUUAACUUACUCUUGGGGUUCAUUUAUUCUAAGAGUAAGUUAAAAAAACUUAAUUCAUAUCUUAUUUAGUCAUUUAAAUGAUUCAAAUCUACUUAUUAAUUCAAAUCGUUGGAUUUGGUUGAAUACUAAAAUAUUAAUUAAGUUUAAUCCAUUCUCCGAUAGUUUUUUUUAGCUUCUUACAUAUACUUUUGCUAAAUUCUUUUUUUAUUGAAUCACUUCUUUAUUUUAUUUAAUGAUAGUCUAAUACAUUAUGAGUGUAUAAAUCUUUUUCCCUUAGUAAGAACCCUAAAUAAUAAAAUUGAAACUUUUGAUUUAUAUUUAGACCCAGAUCUCUUUUCAAUUUUCCCUUCACCAUUGACAUUGUUGUAACUAUUUCUGUAAGCUUUCUCUUACACUCCUCUACUUGUGGUGCGUUUCUUCAAUACAAAUAUCACUCAUUGUUUUUUUUAUCAUUGUAAUUCUUAAUUUAAUCUGUUCUAACAAAGUUUGCAUUUUUUUGUAGCGAAUUUGUUAAUGAGUGAAAUUGGUUUUUGGGUUUUAUUCAAUUUUUUGAAAAUCUAACCCAUGAUGAUACAUAACAAAUUUUUUAUUAUUAUGGUGGGGAUGAAAAAAAUACAAUCUUGAUGGGUUAUCAAUAACAAAUUACUGAUUUGAUAAUCAAUCUAUUCACCUUGUGUUAAACAAUAAUUGAAUCAUGGUUAACUGGUGCAAAAAUGGUGUAGAAGAUUUGGUUUGCAAUAAUCAUUUUGAUGUGUGAAAAUUAGAGUUUGGGUCUGCAAAAACAUGAGGUGGGAUUAUAUGUAAUUGGAUGGUAAAAAUUAUAUGGAUGUGAGAUAAUAUGUGUUAAUGUUUUGUAUAAAAAAUUUCUUUGCCUUAUCACAAUUCCAAAUGGUAAAUAAUUCAUGUGCUCUUUGAACAUCUCAUAUUGAUAUUUGUUACUGCUAGGCUAUAAAAGACAUGGGGAGUGGGUGCAGUUGUUUUGUAUCAUAUUGUCUGAUUUACUACUAAGUACGAACAAAGUGUUGGUCUAGUGGCGUAAGGCUCCACUGAUAGACCAAAAUGUCAAAUGUUCGAUUUCUGGGAGCGACACUUGUUGGGAGAGGCAAUCACGCACCUGGAAAGGGAUUAGUUCCUUACCUAUGGGAUGAAGGGAUACCCUUGGUUAAACACAAAAAAAAUAUUGCCUGAUUUACUUGUCGGUGUAAUUUCACUCUCCAUCUCUAAGGUCUUUUUUGCAUACAUGUGUUAUGUAUUGUUUACUUGAUUAUGUUUCCUUAGCAUUUGAAUAUUCACUAAACUUCACCAUUUCAUAAAUAGAAGCUUGCCGAUUGCAAUUUUUUGAAUCCGUGGUUAGAUUCGUGUCUUGGGUUGCACCAUUAUUAUCUCCCUUCCCCUGUGAAUUGAUUAAUAGUACUCUAUAACUCAGGGAGCAUCAAAUAUGGAUACUGUGAAGAAUGAUGAUCCUCAAGAUCAGAAGCGUGACGAACUCGCUGAAUCGCUCAAUGAUCUCUUCAGCAGCAUUUCCGCCAUGGUCAAAUCAGAGCUUCAGGUGAAAUCCUAAAUUCCUAAUGCUCGUAAGUCCAAUUGAAACGUGGCAUUGUUUGGAAAUUCAACUGUGAUGUUUAAUUAUGAUAGUUUUGUGUGUUAUAGGGUACUAAUAAUCAUCUAGAGCUGUUGGAGAAGAUGAAUGUGAGGGUGGCGGAAGAGUACAAAGGGUUUGGUGAUUUGGCUUCAGGGUUAACGGUUUUUAUGGAACAGUUGAAAUGCAAGAGUGAUAGCUUUAAUGAGUAUGUUGAGCAGAUUGAUGCCAUAGAGAAGCAAGUCACUGAAUUUGAAGCUGUGGUCUCUAUGCUCGAUAAAUAUACGGCUUUGUUGGAAUCAAGAGUGCAAUCUGCAUACCAAACCAAAAUCCAUCCUCCUCCUAAUUAACAAUACAUAUCAGUUUUGAUUGGUUUUCUUGUAUAUUAAUUUUGACAUAUUAAUCUUGUAUUGUGGACCGCUAGUGUUUCAAACAUGAAUUCGAAAAUAGUCACGAGGAAAUGUUCUCUGGAUGUCAUUAAUAUGAUUGAAUGUCAGUGAUCUUUUCCUGAGACAACUUUGGUAUAAGUCAUAGUGUUUGCUUUGGUUAUUCUAAAACAUAAUGUUAUAAGUACCACACUGUCUAUUAAAUUGUAGUCCUCUCUUCUAAAGAGCUACUCAAUCUAAUAUUCGAUUGCAUCAUAGCUUUUUUUCGUCCCAUCUGCGAAGCAUUCUCUUUUGCUUCCGUGAAACCUUCAAGCUUGGAUACAAGGAGCUGUGUUCUUGGUUUUGUUAUCUCGUUUCUGGUUAUUCGAUUACACCAGCAAGUGUUUCUGGUUCUGGAUGUCCGGGUCUGCGUCAUGUGGAUUUCUUGUUCUAAAGAAAACAGUUAGAUGAAGUGAUUUCUAUGGCCAAUUUUAUGAAUUGAAGGUGACUAUUUAAGUUAUAUAGUUCUGUAAAUUGUUUUCUCACCAAAGAAAGUUUUGAGUUUACUUGUGUGUAUUGUGUAUAUAAUCGUUGAUGUGUCUCAUGACUGAAGUCUAAAUAUCGUAUUCGGCCUAGAGCUUUGAAAGAGUCAAUAGUGGGCAUGCAAAUUUAACCCCUUUGCUUGUUCUUAACGGUUUCUACCUCUUCUUUUAACCAGUGUUAGUAUUUUUAUAUACUGUGCUGACAAAUUUUCAGUUAUAAUUUUGGUUGCUAUGGACUGUUGAUAGUUCAUGAGCGUUAAACAGCGUAAGCUCAGAUCAUUCAAAUUUGUUUUAUUUUGUUAAUCCAAAUCAAUGUGUUCUGUUAAUGCAUAUUUAAAAUUGCAAUCUAAACGUAUAUUUUGAUUUAAGUGGUUUAUUUAUCACUCUCUCAUGCAGGCAAACUUCAUUUCCAAUGAACGGGUUCCCCGACUUCACUGAAUGAUGGUAGUGUUGCAACAACUUCAGGCAAAGACAAUCCGUAAGUAUUCAAUUUUGCAAUCUGUUUUGUUGUUCAAUAUGAUUAUAAUCUGUAGCAAAUUGCACGAUAAAAUCUUUGCAUGAUUCUGGGUGAACAAUGUUGCUAUCAAUGUGAUGCAUCUUGAAUGUGUGAAUUACUUCUGAAAUAGUGGAAUGUUUUUGGCUAUGAAGAUAGCAAAGAAAAAGAAAAAUAGGCAUAUCGACAUGAACUUUGAAAAUUAAAUUCCCACAAACUCCCCAAAAACCAAUCAUGAAUCCAAGCCCUAAAGUGAUAUAAAACCCAAAGUUUAUGAGUUCGUCUUCAUCUCUUUUGAUUCCAUUUCUAUGAGCAUUGGCAUCUUCUAGGCAAUCCUUUGACAGAGGUGUAACUAAGAAAAAUCAAAAUCAAAUUCAAAAUGCUUCCCGGAACUAUACCAUAAAGAUAGUUUCUUGACAAGUCAAUUGAUUCGAACAUUUUCAUAUGACCAAUGUUGUUGAGAAUGAAUCUGUGUGAGAUUAUUGCUUGAAAGAUUUAAGCUAGCCAAUGCAAAUUGUCAUAUGAAAUUUGUUCUUUCGAAAACUUUGUAUUUGACAAAGCAAUUAUAUUAUCUUUUACAGAGAUCAAAUGCUUGAAGAUGUAAUAAAUUGCACAAAUUGUUGGUAUGCUUCCUUGGAACUUAUUUGCUCGUAGACGCAAAACAAUCAACUGAUGUACGGUUUAGCCUACCCAUGCUGGUAAUGUCCCUUUCAUAUUCUUGUUCCCAAAAUCGAACAACUUCAAGUUGCUACGAUGAUUCAAAGAUGGAAACUCAUCAGUGAAUUUGUUGUUAUUAAAAAUGGAUUGUCUCGAUUCCUUGUGAAGUGCCAAAAGACUUCGGUAUUCUCCCCAAAAAAAUUAUUUGUUGCCGAAUCCAGUUUCCAUACUUGGUAUUGAUUUUGGCAAGGUAUGCCAAACCUGGUGUUAGCUCUCAAAACCAUUCAGGAACAAAGAAAUCUGAAAUACCACUAUUGGAAAUUUGCAACAACAUAAGUUUCUUUUGAAGUUUGAGCCACAAUGGAAUGUUAGGCCUCAAAUUGCAUGAAUAUGCAGAUAGAUGAAUCAGUUGGAAAGGUGGAGUCCAUUUUGAACUCAAGUUGAAUGAGUGAAUUUUGGUCCACCUACCAAUACUGCAAGUUUAAUCGACCCGAUUCCACCUAGUGAGACUAAGACUGGACCCGAUUCCACCUAGUGAGACUAAGACUGGUCGGUCGUUGUUAUUUUUACAAAAUUUGCAAGUUGAAUAUGUAAAAAAUGUGCUUCAAUAUGAAUAUGUUAAACAGAUAAACAAAUGUUAGAGAUUAGAAACUUGGCCAAUAGUAUAUGGAAGUAUCCUAUUUAACUGAUUAUAUAGGUAAUUUCCUUUCCAUAUGCAACAAUCUUCACCUUUCCAAACAAGAUGGUAGAAAUUAAAUGUUAUUUCACCCCUCUUCACUUCUUUUUAACCAAAUCAACAAGAAAAAAUGUUAUUCAUUUUCUCCUAUCCCCUUCAUUAAAAUAUCUCUCCUUUGAAUCAAAUAAAACUAAAUAGGCAUAAUAAGUUAUGCUUUUUACUUAUGACACACAAUAAUAACAUACAUACAAAUAAUGGCAACAAAAUCUUCUCUACAAUUACAACAACAAAGAGCAAUUACACUUCUUAGUUUAUUCUACAAUGAACCCAUCAAACCCUCUUAGAAAACCCUGAUUUUCCAUUGGCUUCUGAAGAACAAAAUAUCUGAGAGAUCUUUCACUUCUUCAUCUAGGCAAAUGCAUCACUGUAUAUAGCCACUGCAUUUGAGAAGACUGCCAAGAUUAUCAUGAUCACAGAAAUAACCUUGUCUUGUUUAGUUGCUAGGUUAUUCUGAUCCCUGUAGUGAAAAAGAUGAUUAAGGAGAGAAUUAAAAAAGAGAAGUUUAGUACACGAGGCUCUCAUCUAGUAAGGUUUCAGGAAGGUAGAUGUACGCAGUUUUACCAUCACAAACAAGAGACUGUAAUGUUAGAUAUCUAAAAAUACUUGAACCAUAACAGUGUAAUGCUAUUUCCUUUCUAUAUAAGUUAAUGAUCAAAAUCUAACAGUCAAGUAAAUUAAUCAAAUAUGUAAUCUCAUUUUACUGAAGUAAAAGAGUUUAGUGGCCAAACUCACCUAAGUGUGAUAGCAGCAGGAAAUAUGAAUCCUACACAAACAGCAGCUGUUGCUCCAGUGAACUGGAAAGCGUCCCAAAUGCUCGGUAUGAAACUUGCUCCCAGGAAGAUAAUGCCGAUAAGGGAAAUAGUAAUCGAUGCAAAUCUCAGAUUAUCUAGAACCAAUAGCUUUGAUUUAGGAAAUAGGAGACCAUCUAUGUUGAUACGCAGUGGAUAGAAGACAACAGGAAAUACAAGCAUGAGAUGUGCAGCGUAGCUUAAACGAACAAUGUCAUUGAGUACAGAACUGAAAGGAAUCCCAAGAUCGGUAUCAAAAUUGGCGAGCACAUCAUCGAGAGUCCCUUCGCCAAAUAGGAGGUACCCAACGAAGCUUGUCAUUAAAUAGACUGAAGAGCAUAGAGUAAGUGCAGUACGUACAACCCCGUGCAUCUGUGACGAGUCCUCGAGUUCAUUAUCUAUGCUGUGAACUGCAAGAUUGCAUACAAAGCAACCAUCAAAAAAUGCAACAAUCUCAUGCUCUGAUAUAACUUACAAGUUUUGAAACAAUUGACUGUUUAAUAGUACUUGAGAUGCAUGGUACAAAACUACAAACCAUAUUGAUUGAUAUUUCUUUUCAAAUCAGUAAAGUUGAGCAUAGACAAGGGUUAUGCUUAUGCAAGGAUCUGUAAUCUUGACCUGACACCAUUUUUGAUGCAGCAACAACAACAACCAAGUCUUUUCUAGUAUUAAAACACGGGAAAUUAGGUGCACAAAAAGGUUUGAGAUAUUUUCAUACCAUUGUAGUGGCAGAUAUAUGCAGUGACAAGCACAGGAACUACAGUGAACAAUUUGAAGAAUGACUCUAUAUCUGUAAUGACUGGGAAGAGUCUUGGCAUUCCAAUGCCUCCACUGAUAAUCUUGACAACUGCAAUUCCAACAGCAAUGACAAGAAAAACAACUGCUAAUACAACUGAUAUUGCAGAAGUGAAUCUCAAUGAAUCUGCAAAAACAGAGAAUGUAUAAUCAUCAUGGAUUUAUUAGAACACAAUAUUGGUACUGAAAUAAAAAAUGUGUGAAGUCACAAAGCAAAAGAAUGAUCCUGAAAUUGUAAUACAUGUCUACUAUAUCAUGUCAUUUAGGUAUCAUAUUCAUAAUACAGAAUAUAUGGAAGCUGAACAAACUGAAGUUUUCCAAAAUUUUGAUUUGUAAACAUGGCAAAACUGAGUAAUAUAGAAAUAAAAGUAAUUAACAUGUUUGAUACCCAACUCAGUUUAAGUCUUAAUGCUGAUUCAAAUUGAUUGUCAAAGCAACAAAUGAACAGUCUAAUACACGAGGUUCCCAAUAGAAAGCAAAUUUUAUACACGAGGUUUCCAACAGUCUAAUACACGAGGUUCCCAACAAAUGAACAGUCUAAUACACUUUUAUUGGUUUUUGAAAGUCCACAAUAGAAAGCAAAUUUUAUGAAUCUUGUUGCAUAAGAUAUGGGACUUGGAUAGUAACAAUUAAUGUAAGGCUUGAAAUCAAGCUUUUAUAUAAAAGGAAAGACUGAUUCUAGGAUUUGAAUUCAUGACCUUCAAACCACAAAGCAGGAACCUUAUCGUUGCAUUAACGCCAAUCCUAAUACAUUUGAUGACAACAACCUUUCUAGAAUAACAAUCCCUUGUCAUUGUCUUAUUUAUGGAUGGUAAUUUCUAAUAACCUGUAAUCAUUUUUUUGCUACUACAAGUAAUGAAAAACACAUACCAAUUCGCUUAAAGGUGACCAAAGGUGCAAACACAAGUAGUGUUGUUAAAAGGAGAACAAAAGUACGGCUAGUCCACCAAUGGAUUCCAAACCAUUCUUCAAGGAUACCAGAAUGAUGAUCUCCACCAGAAGAAGUUCCAGAGAGAACAUCACCUGCAUUGUCAACAAUACAAAACUGAAUACGAGCUAGUUUCUAUUUGAUCUACUUUUCUUACAGGGCUUCUACCGGCUCCUCCAUACAUGUUCAAACUAUCCAAGGUGCAAUUCUACAAUUUUUUCUAUAAUAGGAGCUACUUCGACUUUUCCUCCAAUGCAUUCAUUUCUAAUCUUAUCUUGUUUAGUCUUCUAAUCUUAUUUUAUCUAGUCUGUUCAGUCAUCUAAUGCAACAUUUUUUCAUCUUUAAUAAAUCGUGUCUACUCUCUUGACAUUUUAUCGUCCAACAUUUAGUCACAUAUAACAUUGCAUGUCUUAUAGAUGCACGCUAAAACAUCUCCUAAAGCUUGAGUGAUACCUUUUUGUCACAAAUGACACUUAAAACACUUCACCAUUUCACUCAAUCGGCUUGAAUCUUAUGGUUCACAUCUCCCUCAAUUUCUCUAUCAUCUUCUAUGAAUAACACAAGAACCACCCAAAUAAAUUUCUAUAAGUACUAAUAUUAAGAAUAUAAUCAUUACCAAUAAUAAUCAUGUAAACAAUGAGAACACCAAUGUUGUUGAUUAUAACACAUAUCUGCAAAAGAGCUUUUCCAUAUUUCCCAAAAGCAUCACCCAUAAGGCCUCCAUAAGAAGUAAGGUUCUCUGCCCUUGAAAACCUGAUCAUAAACUCAAUUGACUUCUCAGUCAAGAAAGCCAUCAAUGUGAUAGCAACAAGACCAGGCACCAUACCCAACUCUUUCAAUGUUGCAGGCAAGGACAUGAUUCCAGCACCAAUUAUUGUUGUGGACAAGUUAAAAACAGCUCCAGAAAAUGAAGCUCCAUUAAAAUCAUCAAAACCAGCAUCAGUUUUUUCUUGAUGAGUCUUUGGUAUCAAAGGUUCAUUGUCAUUAAUAAUUGCUUUGUUCUUUCUUGAAAUUUUCUUCUCUGCCAUUGGUGCUAGAUUUCCAUUUGUCAUUUUCAGGAUUCAAGUUGUUUAUUUAUUUUCCUUGAAAACUUCAAAUCAGGUAAAUAACUCUGUCAAAAACAAAAGACCCAUUUUUCAAAUUGAAGAAAAGAUUCAAACUUUAGAGUAAUUAGUUUCAGCUCAAUUCAAAAGUUUAACAAUACAAACCUGAACAAUAAACCAAGAUAACCCCAGAAUCCAGAAAAUGACAAUAACACAAUAAAGAUUGAAAAUUUCAAACCCAAGACAGAUUCUGAACAAAACCCAAAUCUCUCCCAGAUUGUUGGGAUUUGGAGCUUGGUUUCCCAGAGAGAUUUUGGUGUGUUCCAAGAAGUUUGGAGAUAUGGAACAAAAGAAACAAAUGAAGAAAUAAGAGAUAAAUUAGAGACCAAAGAAAGUGAACGGUGAAGAUUGAGUGUGAAAAAUGAUAAUUAUUAGAAGCCAUUGAAAGAGGAAGAGAGAGAAAUAGAUGUAAUGUAACAUCAUGGUAUAAUUAAGGAUACGAAAAUUGAUGGAACCAUGAAUUGUGUUUGUUUGUGUUCACAAGUUAUUAUCAAUUUCCUACGUACUUUUUUGACAUUUGUUUAUUUUAUUCCCAUGCAGGAACCUUCAAACAUGGCACAAAAUAAUCCAAUAUUAAUAUGCAUGAAAGAUCCUAGAUUUUAUUGAUUUUGUAACGUGUUAUAUGUAAAGAUCAUAGUAAAUUAAUAGUAAUGAAAAAAUUCCAUAUUACAAUAGUGAGUUUGUUGUUACUAUUGUGAAUGUGGCAGUAUUAUUUUCUUAUUGCAAUUAUGUAGAUCGGGAUGGUAUGAAUAUGUUGGAAUCUGCUAGUAUUGUCUGAGAAGUGCUUAAAUACGUCGGAAGAAAGAUAUGUAUAAUAUCAGAGAAUAGUAAGUAAAAAAUAAAUGAUAAGUAAAUUUGUUUAAGGGAGGACCUAUAUUUAUAAUAGAGAAGUGAGAUGAAUAUUCAUUUGUAGAUGCUAUUGAUUUGACCGACCAAAUAACAUAUUGGGUCUGUCCUAGACAAACGAAUGUUGUUUUUCCAAUGUUAGAUGACUUUGGCAUAUUUGCACUUUGUGGAUAAUUGACUUACGUUCAUAUUGACAUGUGUCAUCACAUCAUUGAUUCAUUCUGUCUGUUGUUGAGAGGUACAAUAGGGCAUAGGUAGCAUGCAACAUGUAGUAGAUGUAUGUGUCAUGAUGACACUAAAAUGUCAAAAAUAGUUUCGUGCUAUCUUGUCACUUCUGCUUGAAUUUUAUGAGUUGACUUUUAAGUGAAAAAAGUGAACAAGAAUUUUAGAAACACAAACUAUGGUUAUGAGAUAAUUAUAAAACCUUCUAUUUUCAUAUCAUUCUCUAAAAACUUAACACACAAAAAAAACCUUAAAAGUUUAGGUCAAGAUAAUCUAUUUCAUGCUCCUAAGUCCUAAAGGCAAUUGCUGUAAAUUAAGCUCCUACGCCACUACUAAGGUUGGUCGAAGUUGUUACUUUACAGAGAAGUUGAUUCUAACCAUUCCCACCUUUUCAAGGUAGGUCCCACCACGAUUUUAUGUGAAUAUCCAUAUUAAAGAAUAAGAUUUGAUGUAUGAUUAAGUGAUAAAUAUUAAAUAUAAAACGAAACUAGUAAAUCGGGGUGCGUAGGAUUCAACACUAUAUUUUCUAGAUAAUAAUUAGGAUUGAGUAAGAAGCAAUUACGAUCCUACCUGAUCCCUAUAGUCACUCAUUGCUAUUCAAUUGUAUAUAAAGUAAUGAUAUAUCUAUGAGUUAAAGUUUGUAAUAAUUAACCAAUUAAUAUAAAUUCAAAUUUUAAAUUAUUUUUCAAUUGUUUUUGCUAGUUAUUUAGGACACUAUUGUAAAAUGACUUAAAGUUUAAAUCAAAUUCCAUCAAUUAUUUAACUUUUUAUUAUAUAUACAUAUAUGUAAAUGGUUAACACAAUAUCUAAAUAUAUCAUUUCAUAUGUCAAAUUAUAUAUCCAUAAUAAUAAGUAAUAUUGAGAAAGCUUCAUUUAAAAUGGUCAUAGAUUAUAUUUAAUUAGGUCUAUGGUCGAAUUCAGGUUCAAAAGCUAGCUCGGUCGGGUAAGGAACAAACAUUACUCGACCCAAUUCACCUCAUAUUCAAUUUGGGAAAAGCCCAUGGGCCCGCCCGCAUUUAUUGGGCGGGCAAGACAUGCAAAUUAUGUUCAUUCACCCUAAAAUGUCCGCCUAUGUCCUAUUCGCUCGCAAACAUUUCCAAUGGGCAAAAUGGGGUGGCCCAUUCACAUUAUUAGAUAAAAUAUUGAACAUCAAAUAUAAAAGUAUAUGUAUUUUGUUAAAUAUGAGAAAAUUUGUUCUAUUUGUUAUAUAAACAUUUGUAUAUCAAAUGUAAGAAAAUACUAUCAUUUUCUUAUUAUUUAUAUGCAUUUGUAUUUUGUAUAUUAUAUUGUACUAUUCCUUUUGAAUUUUGUAUGAAAUUAUAUAAUAUGUAUAUUUUAUAUUAUAUAUUACAAAUAUAUAUCAUAUUUUCGUAUGUGAAAUAUAUAUUGUUUAUUUUGUAAGAAGUAUAUAUAAAUUUGUAUAUAUAUUUUUUUAGUUUUAUUUAGGGCAGUUCACAAGUCUGCCAUGCCCAUGUUUAGGGCGGGUAUGACAUGAUAUUUUAUGCCCUAAUUUAAAAACGGGUAUGUCAUGUCUGCCCUAUUUAAAAACGGGCAUGCCAUGUCCGUCCUAAUUUAAAUAGGUAUUGCGUGGACAUGUGUAGCGCGACCUUAAUUACGAAUAAUACUCACCCCUAUUAGAACUAAGUACCAGUAGUUUUUAAUUCAUACUAAAAUUAUUAAAUAUAAGCAUUAUAAAAAUCCUUUACAAUGUCUACUGCAAACGAGUUGAACCUGAGCUAAGCUCGAUUCCAUUCAAUGUAAAUUUAUCGGCUCAAAACUUGACUCGAUUUCGAAACGAGUUAGUUAUGUUUCUAGCUCGAACUCGACUCGAUUGAAAUUCAUAACUAUUCAAUUGACUCGUCAGUUCAAAUUGCUUUGGUUCAUCAAAAGUUUGCGAACUUUUUAGUUUAACUCAUUAGCUAGAAUUGUUUAUUAUGUGAGCUCGAAUGAUAAUAUUUAUUUAACAUAUAUAAAUUUAUAGCUUUUCUAUAUACACACUUAUAUAAAUUAUGUUUUUAACAAGUGUAAUUUUUUAUUCAAGUUUAAUUCGUGUAACUUAUGAAUAAAAUUUAUCAAACUAAAUAAGAAAUUAAAUUUCAAAAGAAUAUUGGUUUGAUUUAUUUGUAGUUUCUCUUAACAUAAAUGAUAAUUAAAUUUGGAGGGAGACUCCACCUUGAUGAGGUUCCACUUUGAAUGAUUCAGUGAUUGAGUUUGAUGCUGUGUUCAACAAUGAAUGGUUCUACCUUCUUCCCUUUUAUCUUUAUGGUCCUAUAUUUUGCAUCUUUAAUUUGGUGCAUGUAUUUCCACCCUUUUCUCAUCCACAUACUCAUUCAUGUGGCUUCUAUCAUUCCAACAUAUUCCCAUAUUCAUACCUUUUUCAAUUCAUAAUAACCAAACUUUUAAAUAAAAACUUCUAAAAUCUUAAAAGUUUUUUUUAUACUACUAAUGAUAUAUCUUUAACUUCGGGUAAUAAACUAAUCAUUCUGGGAUGUGUGUCUACCCCUCCUAACAAAUAUCGCUCAUAUGAAUUGAAUUUUUAACAUUUAUGUGGCUAUACUUCGUGAUACAUUUUACACAACUCCUAAAAUUUUGACAAAUCUUUUAUAUCCCUUAUUAUCAACCAUUUUCUUUACAAAAAAAUAUUUACAUUAUUAAAAAUUGUCAUAUCAAUUCCGAAAGCCAUUUAACCGUAUAAAAUAAAAUUAAUAGAUAAGAUGAUUGUUUAUUAUCGUAUGAAUAAAUCUAUUGUUUCAAAUCAUGUCCCGCACCAAUACAUAUCAAUACCCAAAGCCAUUAACCAUAUAAAAUAAAAUAACAGAUAAGAUAAUGGUUUAUUGUCUGCGAAAAAGUGAAACAAAUGUACUAUUCUAAACUAUAUUCCAUACCAAUGACAUCGAAACAAAAAAAAUUAAAUUUUUUUAAUUAAUAUAACAAUGUUUUAGAUAACCAAUCUCUUUAAAGAUUUCCAUUUGUUAUUUAGUACUAUAGAAUGUUGUGUUGUUAUUCUGUUCCUGUUCCUCCACCUUGUCCGGGUUCAACCCUUUUGUUAUAUUUUCUCUCAACAUAUCAUCAUGUCUCUAACCCUUAAACUCCACUUCAACCUUCACCACCACCACCACAACCAUGCAAACAAAAACACCAUCAUAAACAAUACCAACUACAACACUUGUUUUUCUAACAAGAUUCAACCAAAAACCAUUUACAACACCAACCCUUUGAUCAUAACCACACGUAAACUUGAUUCAAGAGUAAUGCAAGGUGACUGUUGCAACAUGAUUAUCAAGAGUUCUUUGAUAGAACCUGAUGGUGGGUCAUUGGUGGAUCUUGUAGUGGGAGAAAGAGAGAGAGGUUUGAAGAGGGUAGAAGCUGAAUCACUUCCAAAGGUGAAGCUUUCAAAGAUUGAUGUUGAAUGGGUGCAUGUGAUAGGUGAAGGUUGGGCUAGUCCUUUAAGAGGGUUUAUGAGAGAAGAUGAGUAUUUGCAGUGUUUGCAUUUCAAUUCAUUGAGGUUGAAGAAUGGUUCUUUGGUGAAUAUGUCUCUUCCUAUUGUGUUGGCUAUUGAUGAUGAGAGUAAAGGGAGAAUUGGGUCUUGUUCAAAUGUUGGGUUGAUUGGUCCUGAUGGAGAUCUUGUUGCAAUUCUUAGAAGGUUGGUGGAUUUUUUAUGGUUGGUGUGCUUCAUUUAAAAUGGUCAUAGAUUAUAUUUAAUUAGGUCUAUGGUCGAAUUCAGGUUCAAAAGCUAGCUCGGUCGGGUAAGGAACAAACAUUACUCGACCCAAUUCACCUCAUAUUCAAUUUGGGAAAAGCCCAUGGGCCCGCCCGCAUUUAUUGGGCGGGCAAGACAUGCAAAUUAUGUUCAUUCACCCUAAAAUGUCCGCCUAUGUCCUAUUCGCUCGCAAACAUUUCCAAUGGGCAAAAUGGGGUGGCCCAUUCACAUUAUUAGAUAAAAUAUUGAACAUCAAAUAUAAAAGUAUAUGUAUUUUGUUAAAUAUGAGAAAAUUUGUUCUAUUUGUUAUAUAAACAUUUGUAUAUCAAAUGUAAGAAAAUACUAUCAUUUUCUUAUUAUUUAUAUGCAUUUGUAUUUUGUAUAUUAUAUUGUACUAUUCCUUUUGAAUUUUGUAUGAAAUUAUAUAAUAUGUAUAUUUUAUAUUAUAUAUUACAAAUAUAUAUCAUAUUUUCGUAUGUGAAAUAUAUAUUGUUUAUUUUGUAAGAAGUAUAUAUAAAUUUGUAUAUAUAUUUUUUUAGUUUUAUUUAGGGCAGUUCACAAGUCUGCCAUGCCCAUGUUUAGGGCGGGUAUGACAUGAUAUUUUAUGCCCUAAUUUAAAAACGGGUAUGUCAUGUCUGCCCUAUUUAAAAACGGGCAUGCCAUGUCCGUCCUAAUUUAAAUAGGUAUUGCGUGGACAUGUGUAGCGCGACCUUAAUUACGAAUAAUACUCACCCCUAUUAGAACUAAGUACCAGUAGUUUUUAAUUCAUACUAAAAUUAUUAAAUAUAAGCAUUAUAAAAAUCCUUUACAAUGUCUACUGCAAACGAGUUGAACCUGAGCUAAGCUCGAUUCCAUUCAAUGUAAAUUUAUCGGCUCAAAACUUGACUCGAUUUCGAAACGAGUUAGUUAUGUUUCUAGCUCGAACUCGACUCGAUUGAAAUUCAUAACUAUUCAAUUGACUCGUCAGUUCAAAUUGCUUUGGUUCAUCAAAAGUUUGCGAACUUUUUAGUUUAACUCAUUAGCUAGAAUUGUUUAUUAUGUGAGCUCGAAUGAUAAUAUUUAUUUAACAUAUAUAAAUUUAUAGCUUUUCUAUAUACACACUUAUAUAAAUUAUGUUUUUAACAAGUGUAAUUUUUUAUUCAAGUUUAAUUCGUGUAACUUAUGAAUAAAAUUUAUCAAACUAAAUAAGAAAUUAAAUUUCAAAAGAAUAUUGGUUUGAUUUAUUUGUAGUUUCUCUUAACAUAAAUGAUAAUUAAAUUUGGAGGGAGACUCCACCUUGAUGAGGUUCCACUUUGAAUGAUUCAGUGAUUGAGUUUGAUGCUGUGUUCAACAAUGAAUGGUUCUACCUUCUUCCCUUUUAUCUUUAUGGUCCUAUAUUUUGCAUCUUUAAUUUGGUGCAUGUAUUUCCACCCUUUUCUCAUCCACAUACUCAUUCAUGUGGCUUCUAUCAUUCCAACAUAUUCCCAUAUUCAUACCUUUUUCAAUUCAUAAUAACCAAACUUUUAAAUAAAAACUUCUAAAAUCUUAAAAGUUUUUUUUAUACUACUAAUGAUAUAUCUUUAACUUCGGGUAAUAAACUAAUCAUUCUGGGAUGUGUGUCUACCCCUCCUAACAAAUAUCGCUCAUAUGAAUUGAAUUUUUAACAUUUAUGUGGCUAUACUUCGUGAUACAUUUUACACAACUCCUAAAAUUUUGACAAAUCUUUUAUAUCCCUUAUUAUCAACCAUUUUCUUUACAAAAAAAUAUUUACAUUAUUAAAAAUUGUCAUAUCAAUUCCGAAAGCCAUUUAACCGUAUAAAAUAAAAUUAAUAGAUAAGAUGAUUGUUUAUUAUCGUAUGAAUAAAUCUAUUGUUUCAAAUCAUGUCCCGCACCAAUACAUAUCAAUACCCAAAGCCAUUAACCAUAUAAAAUAAAAUAACAGAUAAGAUAAUGGUUUAUUGUCUGCGAAAAAGUGAAACAAAUGUACUAUUCUAAACUAUAUUCCAUACCAAUGACAUCGAAACAAAAAAAAUUAAAUUUUUUUAAUUAAUAUAACAAUGUUUUAGAUAACCAAUCUCUUUAAAGAUUUCCAUUUGUUAUUUAGUACUAUAGAAUGUUGUGUUGUUAUUCUGUUCCUGUUCCUCCACCUUGUCCGGGUUCAACCCUUUUGUUAUAUUUUCUCUCAACAUAUCAUCAUGUCUCUAACCCUUAAACUCCACUUCAACCUUCACCACCACCACCACAACCAUGCAAACAAAAACACCAUCAUAAACAAUACCAACUACAACACUUGUUUUUCUAACAAGAUUCAACCAAAAACCAUUUACAACACCAACCCUUUGAUCAUAACCACACGUAAACUUGAUUCAAGAGUAAUGCAAGGUGACUGUUGCAACAUGAUUAUCAAGAGUUCUUUGAUAGAACCUGAUGGUGGGUCAUUGGUGGAUCUUGUAGUGGGAGAAAGAGAGAGAGGUUUGAAGAGGGUAGAAGCUGAAUCACUUCCAAAGGUGAAGCUUUCAAAGAUUGAUGUUGAAUGGGUGCAUGUGAUAGGUG
rnacentral:lncRNA from 1 species